rnacentral:lncRNA from 1 species
UUUUUUUUUGUUGGCUCAUACUAAAUGACAGGAUCAAUACAUGUGACCUUUUGAUUAGAAAGAGCAUGCACCUUGACUCCACUGUAUGUUCUCUAUGCAACAAUGAAGAUUAUGAAGAUAGGACUCAUCUUCUAUUCACUUGCCCAUAUAGUCAAGGAUUCUGGUGGAACAUUGGCUUUGAAUGGAGCUCUGAUUUGGAGAUCAACUCUAUGAUCAUUGAUGCUAAACACAAAUAUAAAACUGGCCACUUCAUGGAAAUCAUGAUUCUUGGAUGCUGGAGCAUAUGGAACCAAAGGAAUGGAUUGAUUUUUGAGGGGACACCUUGCUCAAUAAAUGAGUGUAAGAAUGACUUCAUUAGAUAUUUCAAGAUGACCAUGCUGAGGGCUAAACCCACUCUAAAAGAGGGCAUGUCCUCAUGGAUAGAUAAUAUUUAAUUUCUCAAUAAGUUCUUUCCUCCCCCCUUAGAUUGUACCUCCUUGGUCGUCCCCCCAACAACCACUAGUUUAUGUAAUUUGGACUCCUUUCUUUAUAAAUGAAAAUGACUCACAGUAGGGGGUUUACCCUAUUGUUCUUUGGUCAAAAAAAAGGGGGAAUAUUAUUCCACUCUUUCCUUUCCCUUCCCCUCUUUACUUAUCCUCCUAUGCCGACCCAUAUGGGGGUGCACCAGCCUCUUGUGGCUGGUGUGUUUCCCAUCUUGGCCCAUAAGGCCCAUAUCUUUUGUCGGGGGUGCCCGGAACCCCUUCCGGUGACCCGAUAAGUACCCGGUAACCCCCCAAACACUUCCGGUGUCCGAAUACCAUAGUCCUAUAUAUCAAUCUUUACCUCUAGACCAUUUUGAGACUCCUUGUCCUGUACGUUAUCUCAUCCGGGACUCCAAACAAGAUUCGGUUACCAAAUCACAUAACUCAUAUAAUACUAUAUCGUCAUCGAACGUUAAGCGUGCAGACCCUACGGGUUCGAGAACUAUGUAGACAUGAACGAGACACCUCUCCAGUCAAUAACCAAUAGCAGAACCUGGAUUCCCAUAUUGGCUCCUACAUAUUCUAUGAAGAUCUUUAUCUGUCGAACCGUUAUUACAACAUACGUAAUUCCCUUUGUCCAUCGGUAUGUUACUUGCCCGAGAUUCGAUAGUCGUUAUCUUCAUACCUAGUUCAAUUCGUUACCAGCAAGUUUCUUUCCUUGUUUCGUAAUACAUCACCUUGUGAUUAACUCUUUAAUCGUUUGCUUGCAAGCUUAUGAUGUGUAUUACCAAGAGGGCCCAGAGAUACCUCUCUGAUACUCGGAGUGAAAAAUCCUAAUCUCGAUCUAUGCCAACUCAACAAACACCUUCGGAGAUACCUGUAGAGCAUCUUUAUGAUCACCUAGUUAUGUUGUGACGUUUGAUAGCACAUAAGGAAUUCCUCCGGUAUUCGGGAGUUGCAUAAUCUCAUAGUCAAAGGAAUAUGUAUUUGACAUGAAGAAAUUAAUAGCAAUAAAACUGAAUGAUCAUUAUGCUAAGCUAACGGAUGGGUCUUGUCCAUCACAUAAUUCUCCUAAUGAUGUGAUCCUGUUAUCAAAUGAAAACUCAUGUCAAUGGUUAUGAAACCUUAACCAUCUUUGAUCGACGAACUAGUGUAGUAGAGGCUCACUAGGGAUAUGGUGUUUGUUUAUCUAUUCACACAUGUAUUAAGGUUACCGAUUAAUACAAUUCUAGCAUGAAUAAUAAACCUUUAUCAUGAAUUAGGAAAUAUAAAAUAACAACUUUAUUAUUGCCUCUAGGGCAUAUUUCCUUCACCUAAAUGCAACAGGGGGUAGUUUAGCAAGGGGUGGAGCAAGUGUAUGGAGUCAUUCAUGAAGUAACCUGAACAAUGAGUAAAGGUUCACUAUGUAAAAAGAAGAAGUCAUCGAAGACACACAACUACGUAUGAGGAGCCAAUGACACACAGUUCAUUAGAGUUCAGACAAGAGAAACAUCACAGACAUACUAGGCGACACGUAUGCAUGCGAUGGAGGUAUUCAACAAUGGGACAUAGCAAAGGCUACAUCAAUGUCAGGGAAAAACCUAUGGAGCGAGGAAUUUGCAAGUGGCGACGUAGGUUGCCCUCAAUAAAAUGAUCCUGCGGUCAGUGAAUAUUGUGAAGCAAAGGGAAAUACAAUUCUCCGGAUGGAUCUGAUCAUGAGAUCCUAAUGUUAGAUUUAGCAAAAUUAUUUAACCCGAAUAGAAGAGAGAUCAGAGUCCCAGAGUAUAGACGAUGAAUAAAAGAUCCUAAUACCAUCCAUUGGUGACGUGGGCCUAUAAACCACACAACCAUGUUAGUAAAAUAGUUUUUCAAAGACUAGACUCAACUUCGGCCAAGGAGUUAGAAAGUGGGGUUCCUAUAGGCGGUCGGCUCUGAUACCAACUUGUGACGCCGCCGACUCGACGGUACACUACUCAUACACGCAAAUGUGUACGAUCAAGAUCAGGGACUCACGGGAAGAUAUCACAACACAACUCUAGACACAAAUCAAAAUAAUACAAGCUUUAUAUUACAAGCUAGGGGACUCGAGGGCUCGAAUACAAAAGCUCAAAACACAAGAGUCAGCAGAAGCAACAAUAUCUGAGUACAGACAUAAGUUAAACAAGACUGCCUUAAGAAGGCUAGCACAAAAGCAACAACGAUUGUAGAGGCAAGGCCUCCUUCCUAGGACCUCCUAACUACUCCUGGUAUUCGACGGCCUCCAUGUAGUAGUAUCCGUUGGUGAUGGAAUCUGGCUCCAGGGAUCUACCAUCUGGUUGCAACAACCGGAAAGAAGGAAGAAGGGGGAAACGGCUAGCAAAGGAACCGUGAGUACUCAUCCAAAGUACUCGCAAGCAUCAGAUCUAUACUAAGUAUGCAUUGGUAUCAAACGAAGGUAUGUAUCUGUGGACUGACUGCAGAAUGCCGCAUAGAGGGGAAGGGCUAGUCUAUCAAAGACUAGCAUCUUCAAGUAGCUCCAAGCAUCUUGCAGCAUUCAGAAGAGUAUAGAAUAGCAGUUUAUAUUUAACAAACAUGUUGUAGAAUUAACACCCAAAGAUCCUUCCUCGAAUCCUUGUAAGAAAGCAAUCCCGGAGCUACAUAUCAAUCACAUAUCUCAAGUAUCCAUUUCUAGUUGUAAUAGAUAAGGAUACAAGUCUGAACGUCCAUUACCAUGGACAGGACUAUUUGAAUAGAUAGCCUUCCCUGCAGGGGUGCACCACAUUUCCCAACACGCUUGAUUACUCUAGCCGGGCACACUUUACUGGGUCAAUGCCCGACUCAGAAGAUCAACACGUCGCAGCCCUACCUAGGCUCAGUAGAGAGGUCCCCACUGGUCUACAUCCUAAGCACUCUAGUGUCUUGGGCCCAUUGCCCAUUGCACUCCGGGUCGUUGCGUGCAUGGCGAUACAGCCCACCACCUCUGGGGAACCGACUAGGCCAUGCCGCAAUGCUGAACUGGAAGUGUGACAAAUCUUCUGCCGAUACUACGACAUCGAGUGCCCAUAACUGUUCCCGCAUGGUGGUUAGUGCGCAUAGGCCAGUGUCCAACUCAGAACCAAUGCCCAAACCUGUUAGUGCAUUAUUAAAAGAAGUGAUGGCAGUCGAGACAAGUCUAGAGCUACCACCCCCUCCUAGGUGAUACCGCUAAACAGCGAGCCGCCACUGUAACAUCUCGUGGGUGCUCUCCAGGACCGCCCGACUUUCACAGGUAUCUCUCGCGGGUGCUCACUGCGCCCGCCCGACUUUAACAAGGGUCUGAAGUAAAUUCAGGGUACUUGUGUGUCCAAAACAUCAAUGGGGAAAAACCUAAGGAAUCGCCCUCGAUGGAUUCCACUCGAUUUAAUCAUCAAGGUGAACAUAGGAGGAGUCACUAUUGGGGAUAUUACCACUGGGCGUGAACCGGCCUACCUGGGCCGGGUCAACUUCAUUAGUAGUAUAAGCAGAUGAAGGCCCAAGGCCGGUAGUUGGUUUAGAAACUGUAGCUGUAAACCGGAAUGAUAUGUAAGCUUGUAUUGUAAGUUAGGAAUAGAGAGAGACCAACCGGGAUACGAAUAUGAACCGGUAUGGGACUCCACGGAUCGACGGGCGUCACCCAUGUAUAUAAGGGGACGACCCGGCAGCGGUUUAGGACAGACAACAACAACUCAAGCCUAGGCGAAGCUUGUUUGCUCCCUGGCCAUCGAGACCACAUCAAUUCCAUCACAACUAGACGUAGGCUUUUACCUUCAUCGAAGGGGCCGAACUAGUAUAAACCCUCGUGUCUUUGUGUCCGCUUUAACCCCUUCAAGUUAACCCGUAGCGAUGGCUCCACGACUAAGUCCUUUCACUAGGACAUCUCCCGUGACAAAUCCACGACAGUUGGCGCCCACCGUGGAACAUAGCUCACCUUCGGCCUUACUACACCUGAGCCAUUGGCUCUAUCUAUGUACAUAUUAUGAUAGUGUAUAUAUUAUCUUUGAUAUAAUAAAACCGGAGCCUCAGCUAAAGCGGGGUCUCUGUCUUUUCAUAUCAUGCGUGGUUACAUGGAGUGGUUCUGUUUUAAAGCGGCCUCCGGUUUACCCCUUGAAAUUUGCUUUUUAUAUCACUUGGGGCCUUGGUCGUGUCCGAACCAACGCGACACCUUUUGAUAGGCGAAAGCCACCAGAUCACUUGAGGACAUGGUCAAGUCUGAACUAGUCACGCCUCUUGAUCGGCCUAAGGCCACAAAAUCACUUGGGGGCUUGGUCGAACCCGAACCAUUGCCACGCCUUUUGAUUGGCAUAUAUGCCACGGUUUCAUUUGGGGACCUGGCUGACUUGAACCAUUGUCACUCCUAUUGGGGGCUUGGUCCUGUCCGACCAUGGUAACACCAUCUGAUCAGCUCAGUAUAGCAUGUUUUUUGCAAACGGUUUUUAUCAUUGCCUUUGCUUCCAUAUUUCUUUUAUGGCUACUUCUUAAUUCUUGUUGUGUUUCCUUUACACCAAACAAUACUUUUUUACCGGUUCAACUGAUGGAUUCGGUUCAUUUUUUUUAAAUCCGGAGAAAUAUGCCCGGUUUACUUUCCCUGUUAACAUCAUGAAGUAACAGGGGGGCUCAUAAUGGCCCAGCACGGUUUACACGGGAGUUGUUUUCUCCCCUUUGACGGUAAUGGUUUAUAAAACCUCUGUUUCAAGCCUGGCUAAGCCAACUUCAUGCCCAGCGAUGGCAGGUAUUUUGUAUCGCAUAUUUGGUUAUAUGCCUUAAAUACAUUGAUGAUAUAUAUAUAUCAAGGUCAUAAACCGGCUAGCGGUAUAACCGCCACCGCAGUUCAAGAUUUUCUGAUUGCAGGAAAUAUAAAUUGAGGAUUUCAAGCAAAAACAUCAGUACUUAUGCACGAAGGCAUAUUUAAAGUGGAAGUAUUGGCUAUUCUAUUACAAGGAAACGCAGUGCCCAAAUAAGAUCAUUGUUCUUCUGGCGGAUCAUAAUGAAGUAGCUAUUUAAACCGGCUUCCGGUUCAAGCCUGCUCAUCGUCUUGCGCCGCUUCAGAUUCUUCAUCUCUAUCCAUUGGCUGGAAAUCAAUAGUGGUCCAGUCGAUUCCCAUUAAAGCUUGAAAGACAGCCUCUUCAUGGAUUAGAGAAGACGGUUCAAUAUCAGGAGCGUAAGUAUGCUUACGGUUUGGAGGAAUCAGAUUCUCUUCUUCAAGAACUGGUGCAGCCACUCGCUUGUUCUGAUCAUUGUAUUGAGCUUGAUAAUGCGACAAGUCUGCCUCUUUAGCUAAUUGACAAGCCAGACGGCGCACUGCAUGGUUUAUCGCCCUUAAAUCCUCUUCAUUGAAUUCUGAGCCAUCUUCCUUCAAGCUGGGAUAGCCUUGAGCUGCUUCAACAGGAUCGAAAUCCGGCACCCAUGCUUUUGCCUGGAUCAAGGCAUUAAUUGCUCCGGUUCGAGCAGCAGAUUUCUUCAGCUCUUCAAUCCGGGCAGGAAGCAUUGACAACCUCUUCAGAGUAUCUUGGAUUAAAGUGGGUGCCGGAUUGUUAUGAGAUGCAGUGGUGAUGAUCCGCUGCGCUCCGGUAUACAGCUGUUCAAUUAAGGUGUAGGCAGCCUUCAGUUUCUUCCGAACAUCUGACCCUAAGUGAGCAAUGCGUGUGCCUGCAACAGUACAGGAACGAUCACAAACCGGAUCUAUUGUAAGAAGGAAGAAGUUGUCAAACAAACCAAAAGGAGCUUACCAAAGAUAGCAACGGUCAUGGCAUGCACUUGCCGCUUUACGGUCGUCAGCUCAUCUACCACCGGUUUAAGGGCAGCUUCAGCGUUUUCAGCUCUUUUUUAUUAAAGCGACCUUCUCAGUGGCCCAAUCAGCCCACUCCUUCUUGAAGCCCUCCUUCAACUGUUCCGUGAUGCUCAAGGCGCUGGUCAAUUCCUCCCUUGCUUUGUCAGUUUCGUCUUGUUGGGUUUUCAGAGUUUCUUGCAUAUCAGUAAUCCGGUCCUCUUUAACCCUCACUUCAGCCUGCAUACAAACAGUACUUGGCUUUAAACAAAACAGUACAGGAAUUUGAAGUACCAACCACAUAACAAGUUAUACGCUUGAUACUUGGGGGCUAAUGCACCUUCAAUUUUCAUCUAUUAUUAAAUCACAAAGUCCCAAGCUCAAUACAGGUAUUCAACUUGGCACUUGGGGGCUAAUGGCUAUUUGCUCAGUUAUUUUCUGAUGUUAGAAUCUUUAUGGGAGUCCCGGUUUAACUAUGCUAAGUUGAACCGGCCCUUGGGGGCUAUAUUGACGGAUUUCAAAGUACUCAGGAUUAUAUUCAAGUCCCGGUUUGAAGAAGGUUACAAACCGGCCCUUGGGGGCUAGGAGGAUUAAUACAGUGGCAGUAAGUAAAGAAAGAAGAAGCACAAGGAAGUUACCUCAAAUUUGUCUCUCACCAUCUUUACCAGGCCAGCUUCACAGUCACGACUAGUAUAUAGCCGGUUCAAGUAACCAGAAUGAAGAUCUUGGGCACUCAGGGCAGCAUAUGUUUCCAGUUCAACAUCCCAUUUGCCUUUGUUCUUGGCAGGAAAAUCUUCUUUCACUGUAUGCUUGGCUAAAGCGACAGGAUUCCCUGGUUCAAAGCGGCGUACACCGGUAAUUAAAACGUCAUCACUGGACUCACCGGUUUGCGUUGGCGCGGUCGGUUUAUCAGCAGGUUUAGAAGGACUGCGGGAUCUUUCAAUCCGGACGGAGCUGGCAGGCAGAUCAGCAGGGACUGAAGUAUUGAUAGGCCUUUCCUCAGGAAUAGCAUCAUCUUGCAUAGGAGGAUCAUUGGGGAUAUCCUCAUGAAUGAACGCUUCAAGAUCUGGUGCUUUAUCCUGUUCAGGGGCGACAUCUUCCUCAGCCGCUUUGUCCAGGCGGGCUUUCUUACUCGGUUUAGGUUUAGCCCUGAAAGAGAAACAAAGAGUCAAGAAACAGCAUAAGUUAUAACACAGUAUAUCAGAAGCAUAUGUUUAGCCUAACUUACCCAAGGACCGUUUUCAGUGGCGGCAGCUGAGUGGCCGAUGAUUCACCAGAGGAAGAAUGAGAAGUAACCUGAUAAUCGGAGUCGGACGGAUUAAGAGGUUGACGGAUGGAACCCGCUUUAGGAUAUAAAUUAAUAAAAAGGUCGGAGACCUCGGAGCGGCGUUUUCGAACCGGACUGUUUGGUAAACUGGCGGAGGUAACUACCUGGCCGCUGUGCCAGGUUGUGCGGCGAGCUUCAUGUUGCUGAGUCUUCAUAAGAAAUUUGGGAUCCAAAUAAGGAAGAGGAUGAGAAAAUUUAACUUUCCGGAUUGCCUGGCGAAGUUUUGGCAAAGGCAAAGGAUCUGAAUCGGAAGAAAGAAUAGUUACCUCAGCGACAUCAGCAUUACUGGCUUCAGCGUCGUCCUGACAAGUAUCAUCAUCAAUAAGGCAUGUAAAAAGCAAGCCUAGUGAAUCGAGUUCUACCUCAAGGUCCGAGUUACCCACAUCAUCAUCAACAGCCGGAUCAAAUGAGGCGGUGGUUUUCCUUUUGUGAGCCGGCUUCUUGAUAACCUUGGUCUUUGGCCGGGUUGACCGUUCUGUUUUCUCCGGUUUAUCUUGUGAAAGCUUCUUGCUCCAAAACGGAUUAUCCCCCUGGUUAAGCAGCAAUUGAUGUUAGACAGAGAUAGCAGUAACAGGUUCCGUAAAAAAUACAAGCAAAAUCUUACAGCUGGCGGCUUGUUGGUGGUGCAGAAGGGAAGCAGGCCGGUUUGAGCGCAGAGGUGCUCCGGUUCGUUCAACAUUUUCUUCACAGCAUCUGUGACUUCAGCAUCGGAGAGCUGGAUUUUAGUGUGUCGGAGUGGGUCAUCGACGUUAUCAGUAUACUUGCACAUCAGACCGGACCACCGGCUGAGGGGCAGUACACUCCACGAUAUCCAACAGCGUGCAAGAUCUAUUCCUGUUAAACCGUUGGCCAUGAAGGCUCGGAGCUUGGACAGUUGCGGAGCAUAUUUGCUUCUCUCCUUGGCACUUAAUCUUUGUGGAAAGGGGUGAGUGUUGCUGAGCCGCGCCGGACAAAAUCCAGGCAAGGGAUUUUCAUUGUCAGGGGAGGUGUCUUUGCAGUAGAACCAUGUUGCAUUCCACUCCUUGGGGUGACUGUGUAGUUUGACGUGGGGAUAAGUGAUCUCUUUUCUUUUCUGAAUUGCCAUACCACCCAAUUCGGUAUUGGGGCCGUCAGUGAAUUCAGUGCGGCGUUUUAAGUGGAAGCAGUCUCCAAACAAUUCAACUAAAGGCUCCUCUUGAAGGUAUACCUCAGAGAGCACUUGGAAAUGACAUAGGUUGGUAACAGAAUUGGGGCCAAUAUCUUGCGGGCGGAGCUGAAAAUUGGCUAAUACAUCCCGGUAAAAUUUAGAACCGGGUGGCUUGAAGCCCCGGGCUAAAUGAUCUGCAAAGAUCACAACCUCUCCCUCUUGAGGUGUGGGAGGACAUUCAUUUCCAGGAACCCUCCAGUGGAUUGUAUCUUUGCUGUCUAAAGCGCCGAUCAAGACUAAAUCGUCCAGCUGAGUUUCUGUGACGCGAGAAGGAACCCAAUUGCACUCAUAUACUUGUUUGGCCAUGGUGAGAUCUACAAGAAAUAGGCGAUUCUGGUUCAAGAAUAUGUUGGAUAAAAGAAGGUGCUGGUCUGAACAAUGUUAAACCGGAGGCAGUAUGUUUAAACCGGAUUUCUAUAAGGUGGCAUCAUAUGGCUAAUGAGUUCUGGCGGCUCAACAAGGGGACUAAUGGUAUAUGCCGGUUUAUUAACUUUUUCUAUAUUGAGUUAAACCGCCAGAUCUAAACAUUGAAAGCAAUCAAGGUUGCGGAUGGCUAAGUAUGCAGAAACAGGUUUCGCAAAGUCUUAUUGCAGCAAUGGAUCUGAAGCAAGUUCAGAAAAAUAGAAAAUAUUCAAAAAAGGUAAAGACAGGACGGAAGUGAACCAAUGGGCAGAUAUGUCGAUGAGAUCUAUGGGCUUAAGCGUACAGGCGGAUACUAAAAGGCUACUACUAAUCAGAGCAGGGAUUCACAGAUGUAUCCAGGAGUCUGGGUACGAGCAUGAACAAACGACGAACGCAGCAAGAACAGGAAACCCUAAGAACAGAUCUAUGUCAAGAAGAAUAGAAGGCUUAUUGGAAACGAAUAAGACGCGGAAGGCGACCGCAGUGCUCUGGUGCGUUCAGGUCGAUGCAGCAGCCCAAGACGAUGGAGAGGUCGACGGCGGCGGCGGAGCUCCGAGGUUGGCGACGCGAGGAAGACGAAGAGAAAGAGACGAAGAGGAGAAAAGGAAAUGACCCUUCGGUCCUAUUUAUAAGGCAACAGAUGUGGGUCAGGCGCGCGAAUCCAGGAGCCAAAAUUUCGGAAGUGGAGCUGAUGACUUGGGUAUCGCAGAUCUAUUAAUGAAAGAAGGCGUCAUAAGUGUUAACUUCGUGAUGACGUCAUGCCGGUUUACAGCAACCAGAAAUGAUGACGACAUGGCGGAUUAUCAAUUACCAGAAGAUGUCGAAGACAAAGAUUUGGUGAAGGAUUGACAUGAACCAGUUCAAAUCAAUCUGGGGCCUAAUGUUGGGGAUAUUACCACUGGGCGUGAACCGGCCUACCUGAGCCGGGUUAACUUCAUUAGUAGUAUAAGCAGAUGAAGGCCCAAGGCCUGUAGUCGGUUUAGAAACUGUAGCCGUAAACUGGCAUGAUAUGUAAGCUUGUAUUGUAAGUUAGGAAUAGAGAGAGACCAACCGGGAUACGAAUAUGAACCGGUAUGGGACUCCACUGACCGACGGGCGUCACCCAUGUAUAUAAGGGGACGACCCGGCGGCGGUUUAGGACAGACAACAACAACUCAAGCCUAGGCGAAGCUUGUUUGCUCCCUGGCCAUCGAGACCACAUCAAUUCCAUCACAACUAGACGUAGGCUUUUACCUUCAUCGAAGGGGCCGAACUAGUAUAAACCCUCGUGUCUUUGUGUCCGCUUUAACCCCUUCAAGUUAACCCGUAGCGAUGGCUCCACGACUAAGUCCUUUCACUAGGACAUCUGCCGUGACAAAUCCACGACAGUCACCCUCGAGGUUCACACUUGAGGGGUUGCAUGACUGAGUCGUAUCGGUAGUGGUGAAGGAGGAAUCACCCUCCGUAAUCCAUGGCCGAUUAGCUACACUACAGAGUUAUCAUCAGGAGUGCUAUUCGAGUUAUCACCCUCGGCACGUGAUAUUAGCUCUGUAGAGUCGUACAACUAAAGGGGGUGAGGUGAUGCGCGAUGUUGGGCCCUGGACGUCGAUCACGUUGAUCGAGUCAUCGGUCAACAAGUCGAGGCAACUGGGACAGGGAGAGUGGUCAUUGAUAGAUCACCAACCAACCUAUACUAAACAGUUUAGGAUAAGUAGGUAAGGUGCAAUGAGCAGGUUACAAAAGCACGGUAUGCAUUAGGAUAGGAGCAAGCAAUAACAGUAGCAAAAUCUAGUGCAAGCAUGAGAGAGAAUGGAAUGGGCGAUAUCGGAGUGAUCAAGGGGGGUUUGCCUGCUUGGAAGCUCUGCUGUAAAGGGAGAAGGGUCGUCGACGACGUAGUCGAUACCAGAGAAGAAGGGGGAAGAAACAGUAAAUACAAAGAACACAUAUGCAUGACAUGACUACAGGCAGAGCUAGGGGUGUUCUAACACAGUGUUACACAACACCGGCGAAGGGGGAAAACAUCCGGAAAUGUUUUCCCGAAGUUUGGCAUUUUCGGACAGAUGAAAUAGAGGGGGCGCUUCCAUGUUUGCUAUGUUAGGGAUGUGUGGAGGACGAACGGACUGCAGUUCGGAUUCGUCACAUUUUUCUGAGCAACUUUCAUGUAUAAAACUUUUUCAUCCGAGUUAUGAAUUAAUUUUUAUGAAUUUCUAAAGUUUUAGCAAUAUCCUGAAAAUCCCUGAAAUUCUGCCAAGUCUGAAAAUUCAUCAGUUAUAAACAUCACCUCGCUAUUUUCAAAAGGCUACAACUAUUGUGCUGUGCAUCCUAUGGGUUAGUGCCUUAAAUCAAUACUGAUCACUCUUCUGUGAUCUACAAGAUAGUAUCAAUUGGAUCUCUAUUAGAGUCCAUUAGCUUGCUCAAAACUUUGUUUGAGAAGUGCCACUUGAUAUUGAUUCCAGAAACUGUUAUGAUUUACAAACUUUGUUGGAUGAUUGCCAUUGAUCUAUAGUUCUAAUGGAGAUGCUUCCUAUAUGUGUUCGGUACUACAACAAGAGUACUACCAUGCCAUGCCUUUAUAUGGCAUGACAGAUCCCUGUAGCUUGUUCAUCAGCGGCUCUAAAGUAUCUAUUACAAUAAGGUUGUUUGUUUUUGUUCUCUGUUAAUAGAACAUAGCACUUUGCGAUUUCAUAGGAUUUAGUCCAUGCAUCAAAUGGAUUUGGUCCAAUGGAAACAUUUGAGCCUUGGCAAGUGUACUACCAGCCCAUAUUAUUUUUACUCGUGUUACAAUUGUUUAACAGCUGAUUAGGGCCUGUCUAGGGGGUUAGUCAGUGUAGAAUUACAAAAGCCAGCUAGCAGCUACAGCAGCUAGCAUGCUAAUAUAGGCAAAGCAGCAGCAGCAGCAGUACAGCAGCGGCUGUGCGGAGCAGGGCCGCGGACGUAUGACACAGUGCAGCGGGCGGGCGCGGCCGGUCAAGCGCGAGCCGGGAGGUGCGGGGCUAGCGUACGGGCGGCAGCGGUGAGUUGCAGGCGAUGGCCGCUGCAGAACCAACAACAGGGGGUGUGCGAGCCGGCAGAAGGUGGGCACAGGGUUGCAGCAGUACACAUGAGUAGCAGGUGCUACCUCUUGAACAUGCGUUGGGUUUCCCUUGAAGAGGAAAGGGUGAUGCAGCAAAGUAGCGUAAGUAUUUUCCUCAGUUUUUGAGAACCAAGGUAUCAAUCCAGUAGGAGGCUACACUCAAAUCCCUCGUACCUACACAAACAAAUAAGAACCUUGCAACCAACGGGAUAAAGGGGUUGUCAAUCCCUUCACGGCCACUUGCAAAAGUGAGAUCUGAUAGAGAUAAUAAGAUAAAUAUUUUUGGUGUUUUUAUGAUAUAGAUUGGAAAGUAAAGAUUGCAAAAUAAAAUAGAUCAGAAACUUAUAUGAUGGAAAAUAGACCUGGGGGCCAUAGGUUUCACUAGUGGCUUCUCUCAAGAUAGCAUAAGUAUUACGGUGGGUGAACAAAUUACUGUCGAGCAAUUGAUAGACAAGUGCAUAAUUAUGAGAAUAUCUAGGCAUGAACAUGUAUAUAGGCAUCACGUCCGCGACAAUUAGAUCAAAACGAUUAUGCAUCUACUACUAUUACUCCACACAUCGACUGCUAUCCAGCAUGCAUCUAGAGUAUUAAGUUCAUAAGAACAGAGUAAUGCAUUAGGCAAGAUGUCAUGAUGUAGAGGGAUAAACUCAAGCAAUAUGAUAUAAACCCCAUCUUUUUAUCCUCGAUGGCAACAAUACAAUACGUGCCUUGCUGCCCCUGCUAUCACUAGGAAAGGACACCGCAAGAUUGAACCCAAAGCUAGGCACUUCUCCCAUUGCAAGAAAGAUCAAUCUAGUAGGCCAAACCAAACUGAUAAUUUGAAUAGACUUGCAAAUAUAACAAAUCAUACAAAAAAGAAUUCAGAUGAGAUUCAAAUAUUGUUCAUAGAUAACCUUGAUCAUAAACCCACAAUUCAUCGGAUCUCGACAAAUACAUCGCAAAAAGAAUUACAUAGGAUAGAUCUCCAAGAAGAUUGAGAAGAACUUUGUAUUGAGAUCCAAAGAGAGAGAAGAAGCCAUCUAGCUAAUAAGUAUGGACCCGAAGGUCUGUGGUAAACUACUCACACUUCAUCAGAGAGGCUACGGUGUUGAUGUAGAAGCCCUCCAUGAUCGACUCCCCCUCCGGCGGAUCGCCGGAAAAGGCCCCAAGAUGGGAUCUCACGGGUACAUAAGGUUGAGGCGGUGGAAAUAGGGUUUUGUGGUGCUCCUGGAUGUUUUCAAGGUAUAUUAAUAUACAUAGGCGAAGUAAGUCGGUCAGGGGAGCCAUGAGGGGCCCAGAGGGUGGGGGCGCGCCUACCCCCUAGGCGCGCCUCCCUGCCUCAUGGCCGCCUCGUUUCUUUCUUGACGUCCACUCCAAGUCUCCUGGAUUGCGUUUGUUCCAAAAAUAACUCUCCCGAAGGUUUCAUUCCGUUUGGACUCCGUUUGAUAUUCCUUUUCUGCGAAACAUUGAAAUAGGGAAAAAACAACAAUUUGGGCUGGGCCUCCGGUUAAUAGGUUAGUCCCAAAAAUAAUACAAAAUUGUAUAGUAAAGCCCAUUAAACAUCCAAAACAGAUAAUAUAAUAGCAUGGAACAAUCAAAAAUUAUAGAUAGGUUGGAGACGUAUCAGCAGGCGCGCGUGGCUGCAGGCACGAGCGGCCGAGGGCAGAGUAGGGCAUGCGCGCACGCAGACGUGGUCGGGCGGAGGCCGGUGCGGGGCUCGGAAAUCUACGAUGUUCGGGACGAGGGGAGAGGAGAAAGAGGGAGUGGCAGGGCUCACCGCGAGGCACACGAAGGCCGUCAAAAGCUUAGGAGGACAGAGGACGGAUCGGAGUCGCGCAGCCGUAGUGGUCCGAGCAGGACGACGACGAUGUUCCAGCGCUGCAGGGCUCCCUGUCUCCAACGGGUUGCAUGAUAACCCACAAGCGUAGGGGAUAAUUGUAGCCUCUUUCGAUAAGUAAGAGUGUCGAACCCCACGAGGAGCUAAAGGUAGAACAAAUAUUCUCUCAAGUCCUAUCUACCACUGAUACGACUCUACGCACGCUUAGUGUUUGCUUUACCUAAAACAAGUAUGAAACUAGAAGUACUUUGCAGGUGUUGUUGGAUAAGUUUGCAAGAUAAUAAAGAGCACGUAAAUAUAAACUAGGGGCUGUUUAGAUAAAGAAGCAAUAAAGUAAAUUUAGCGAGUGUGGAAAAGGUGGUGGUAGGAGUUGUGAAAUUGUCCCUAAGCAAUUGACUACUUUACUAGACCGAUAGCAAGUUUUAUGUGGGAGAGGUAUAAGCUAACAUACUUUCUCUUCUUGGAUCAUAUGCACUUAUGAUUGGAACUCUAGCAAGCAUCUGCAACUACUAAAGAUCAUUAAGGUAAAACCCAACCAUAGCAUUAAAGCAUCAAGUCCCCUUUAUCCGAUACGACACAACCCCCUUACUCAGGUUUAUGCUUCUGUCACUCAAGCAACCCAUUAUAAGCGAAUCAUGAACAUAUUGCAACACCCUACAGCGGGAAUCCCUCAUGCUUGUGUGACAUGGAGGGCACAAUAGGACAGCAACAAAACCACAAGCAAAUUAAACCAAUCAUAGCAAUUCAUCAAUCACCAGCAGGACAACAAAAAUCUACUCAGACAUCAUAGGAUGGCAACACAUCAUUGGAUAAUAAUAUGAAGCAUAAAGCACCAUGUUCAAGUAGAGGGUACAGUGGGUUGUGGGAGAGUGGACCGCUGAAUAUAGAUGGGGGAAGGUGAUGGAGAUGUUGGUGAAGAUGGUGGAGGUGUUGGUGUAGAUCGCGGUGAUGAUGAUGGCCCCCGGCGGUGUUCCGGUGCCACUGGAAGCAAGGGGGAGAGAGCCCCCCUUCUUCCUCUUCUUCCUUGACCUUCUCCCUAGAUGGGAGAAGGGUUUCCCCUCUAGUCCAUGGCCUCCAUGGCUUGGGAGGGGCGAGAGCCCCUCCGAGAUUGCAUCUGUCUCUCUGUCUCUCUCUGUUUCUGCGCUCUCGUAUUCUGCCCUUUCACCGUUUCUUUUAUAUCCGGAGAUCCAUAACUCUGAUUGGAUUCAAACCUUCGCCUAGAUUUUUCUCCGAAAAUUAGCUUUCUUGCGGCCAAAGAAGAGCAGUAACCGCCUUACGAGGGGCCCAUGAAGGUCAAGGGCGCACCCGGUAUUGGCAAGCGCGCCCCUGCCUCGUGGCCACCUCGAGAACCGUCUCGCAUUGAUUUUACUUCCCAAAAAUCAUAAAUAUUCCAAAAAUAAGCUCCAUCCGUUUUUAUCCCAUUUGGACUCCGUUUGAUAUUGGUUUCUGCGAAACAUAAAACAUGCAAUAAACAGGAACUAGCACUGGGCACUGGAUCAAUAUGUUAGUCCCAAAAUAAUAUAAAAAGUUGCCAAAAGUAUAUGAAAGUUGAAGAAUAUUGGCAUGGAACAAUCAAAAAUUAUAGAUACAACAGAGAUGUAUCAGCACCCCCAAGCUUAAUUCCUGCUCGUCCUCGAGUAGGUAAAUGAUAAAAAAGGGAAUUUUUGAUGUGGAAUGCUACCUAGCAUAAUCUUGAUCAUAUGUCUAAUCAUGGCAUGAAUAUUAAGACACGAAUGAUUCAAAGCAAUAGUCUAUCAUUUGACAUAAAAACGAUAAUACUUCGAGCGUACUAAUAAAGCAAUCAGGUCUUUUGAAAACAACAUGGCCAAAGAAAGUUAUCCGUACAAAAUCAUAUAGUCUGGCUAUGCUCCAUCUUCAUCACACAAAAUAUUCAAAUCAUGCACAACCCCGGUGACAAGCCAAGCAAUUGUUUCAUACUUUUGAUGUUCUCAAACCUUUUCAACUUUCACGCAAUACAUGAGCGUGAGCCAUGGAUAUAGCACUAUGGGUGGAAUAGAGUAUGAUGGUGGAGGUUGUGUGGAGAAUACAAAAAAGGAGAAAGUCUCACAUCGACGCAGCUGAUCAACGGGCUAUGGAGAUGCCCAUCAAUUGAUGUCAAUGCGAGGAGUAGGGAUUGCCAUGCAAUGGAUGCACUAAGAGCUAUAAGUGUAUUAAAGCUCAAACUAAAACUAAGUGGGUGUGCAUCCAACUUGCCUGCUCAUGAAGACCUCGGGCAUUUGAGAAAGCCCAUCAUCGGAAUAUACAAGCCAAGUUCUAUAAUGAAAAUUCCCACUAGGAUAUGAAAGUGAAAGCAUAGGAGACUCUCUAUAUGAAGAACAUGGUGCUACUUUGAAGCACAAGUGUGGUAAAAGGAUAGUAACAUUGCCCCUUUUCUUUCUUUCUUUUUCUUUUUUUUCUUUUUUUGGGGCAGGCUUCUUUUGCCCCCUUUUUUAUUUAGGAUUCUUUGGCCUCUCUUUGGGGGGGGGGCAAUGCUCUAUAAUGAUGAUCAUCACACUUUUAUUUACUUACAACUCAAUAUUACAACUCGAUACUAGAACAAGAUAUGACUCUAUAUGAAUGCCUCCAGCGGUGUACCGGGAUAUGCAAUGAUCUAGCAUAGCAAAGAUAUCAAAAAAACGGACAAGCCAUGAAAACAUCAUGCUAGCUAUGUUACGAUCAUGCAAAGCAAUAUGACAAUGAAUGCUCAAGUCAUGUAUAUGAGGAUGAUGGAAGUUGCAUGGCAAAAUAUCUCGGAAUGGCUAUGGAAUGCCAUGAUAGGUAGGUAUGGUGGCUGUUUUGAGGAAGAUAUAAGGAGGCUUAUGUGUGAUAGAGCGUAUCAUAUCACGGGGUUUGGAUGCACCGGCGAAGUUUGCACCAACUCUCAAGGUGAGAAAGGGCAAUGCACGGUACUGAAGAGGCUAGCAAUGAUGGAAGGGUGAGAGUGCGUAUAAUCCAUGGACUCAACAUUAGUCAUAAAUAACUCACAUACUUAUUGCAAAAAUAUAUUAGUCAUCGAAACAAAGUACUACGCACAUGCUCCUAGGGGGAUAGAUUGGUAGGAAAAGACCAUUGCUCGUCCCCGACCGCCACUCAUAAGGAAGACAAUUAAUUAAUACCUCAUGCUCCAACUUCGUUACAUAACGGUUCACCAUACGUGCAUGCUACGGGAAUCACAAACCUCAACACAAGUACUUAUACAAUCCACAACUACCCACUAGCAUGACUCUAAUAUUAUAUCGCAAAACUAUUGCAAGGAAUCAAACAUAUCAUAUUCAGCGAUCUACAAGUUUAUGUAGGAUUUUAUGACUAACCAUGUGAAUGACCAAUUCAUGUCAUCUCUCUAAAUUGAUAUAAGUGAAGCAAGAGAGUUUAAUUAUUUCUACAAAAGAUAUGCCCAUGCUCUAUCAAAUAUAAGUGAAGCAAAAGAGCAUUCUACAAAUGGCGGUUUUCUCUAUGAAGAGAAACAGGCAAUCCAAACUUCAAAUGAUAUAAGUGAAGCACAUGAAGCAUUCUAUAAAGUCGUACCUAAAAGAUUUAAGUGAAGUGCAAAGAGCAUUCUAUAAAUCAACCAAGGACAAUCUCAUACCACCAUGGUGCAUAAAAGAAAAGUCAAAACUAAAUGCAAAAGACGCUCCAAGACUUGCACAUAUCGCAUGAACGAAACGAAUACGAAAACAUACUGAUACUUGUUGAAGAAAGAGGGGAUGCCAUCCGGGGCAUCCCCAAGCUUAGACUCUUGAGUCUCCUUGAAUAUUUACUUGGGUUGCCUUGGCCAUCCCCAAGCUUGAGCUCUUGCCUCUCUUCCUUUUCCUCAUAUCGAGACCUCCUCGAUCAAACACUUCAUCCACACAAAACUUCAACAGAAAACUCGGUAAGAUCCGUUAGUAUAAUAAAGCAAAUCACUACUCUAGGUACUGUUGCAAACCAAUUCAUAUUUUGUUUAUGCAUUGUGUCUACUGUAAUAUAACUUUUUCAUGGCUUAUUCCACUGAUAGAAAUCGAUAGUUUCAUCAAAACAAGCAAACUAUGCAUCAAAAACAGAAUCUGUCAAACACAGAACAGUCUGUAGCAAUCUGAACAUUCACCAUAAUUCUGUUACCCCAAAAAUUCUACCAAAAUUAGGAAAAAUAAAGAACUUGUACAGUAAUACAGUUAAAAAAGAAUGAACCGUUUGACAUUCCAGUAAAAAACGUAAAAUCGCGCACUACACCCAAAGUUUCUGUCCUGCACCGUACAAACCAACAAGCAUUGUAAACAUCCUAAAGGCAAAUCUUAGCACAUUAUUUUUAUAAUACAAUGGAAUUGUACAAGGGGAUAAUUAUUUUUGUUGAAAAGUUUCUGUAAUUAAGAUUCAAAAAGUUUCUAUGAGCAUGAACAAAGUUCAAGGAGCUCUCCCACUUCAACAAUGCUCGUCUUUCUCACUUUCGCUUUCCUUUUUGGAAAGUUUUGGGUUCCCCUCUUUAUUUUUUUGUUUUUAAACUAUAUAAAAGCACACAACAUAAAUAAAUGACUCUCUAAAACUUCCGGGUUGUCUCCCUGGCAGCGCUUUCUUUAAAGCCAUUAAGCUAGGCAUAAAGUGCUCAAGUAAUGAAUCCACCCGGAUCCCAAGGUAUAUCAAAGCCAAUUUUAAUUAACAAUGAUUUGUAAUUUAGUAGUGAGCACAAAGUAACAUAUAUCAUGCAACAACAAAGUCUAACUCUCUUCCUAUGCAUCGGCAUGUCAUAAAAGAACAAUUCAUGCACACAUAGUAAAGGCCAAUACAUAGUAUAAGCAGUUUCUUGCAAUGUCAUCGUGUGGGAAACAUAGAGAGGUGGAGAUAUAGCUCCUUUCUCAUAAUAGUUGCAAGUAGGAGCAGAAAGCACAUGCAUAUUAUAUCUAUCAAAAUCAUCAUGUGUAGUAGUAAAACGCAACCCAUCAAUAUAAUCCUUGAUAAGAACAAACUUCUCUGAUAUAGUGUAGUUUGAAGAAUUCAAAAAGAUAAUAGGACUAUCAUGUGUGGGUGCAAUAGCAACAAUUUCAUGUUUAACAUAAGGAACUAUAGCAAGUUCAUCUCCAUAAUCAUAAUUCAUAUUGGCAUCUUAGCCACAAUCGUAGCAAGCAUCAUCAAAAAGGGAUAUUUCAAAUGAAUUAAAGGGAUCAUAGCAAUCAUCCUUCGGUAAGCAUGAAGGGGAAUUAAACAAUGUAUGAGUUGAAUAGUUACUCUCAUUAGAAGGUGGGCAAGGGUAGCUAAUCCGCUCUUCCUCCUUUUGUUCUUCGCUCUCCUCAUCAUCUUUUUCAUCCAAUGAGCUCACAGUUUCAUCAAUUUCUUCUUUGCUUCCUGCAAAAUAUUAGUCUCUUCUUGGACAGCGGAGACUUUCUCAAUAAAUGCAUCAAUAUCGGAAUUGUAUUCAUAAUUUUCAUAGCAAUAUCUAAGUAUAGCAAAAUUUUCAGGUCUAUAAACCGAAUCAUCAAAAUCUUCAAACUCUUUAAACAUAGAUUCAAUCUCAUAGGCACCCAUAAAAGCAAUGAAUUCUUUUAUUUGUUCCACAUCAUAGUAAUCAUAGAUACCAUUAGCAUAAGAAGCCAAGGUUUUAUCAUCAUUGAAUUUGCAUGAAAAGGGAAGGUGUGGAGCCUUCAUCCUAGAGCAACAAGUAUAAUCAUGUCUCAAACAUAGAUCCCGAGCAUACCAACGCAACAUAUAAAUUUGAUCCCAUAAUAGUUUCCCUUUUGUGUCAAGUGAUAAUCCCUAAAGUAUUCACGUUGAUCCAACGUGUCUCCCAUAACAUAAUUGAAUGGGGUUUUCUCAGGAUUAUCAAAGUAGUACAUAAUUUCUUCACAUAAUGAGCAUCGAGGGUUUUAGGAGGUUCCACAUCUCCAUGAGUGGCAAGUACACCUAAUUUUUUUUGGUAUUUCGUGUUCCAUAUCCAUAACUAAAGAUAGAGAACAACUUAGAAUAGCAAAUAAAAAUUACUUAGUGAUAAAGCAAACAAGCACACACGAGAAUAUUCACCCCACGCUAUGACUCCCCGACAACGGCGCCAGAAAAAGGUCUUGAUAACCCACAAGUGCAGGGAUUACUGUAGCUUAAUUAUCUGGGCGUUACAUUCAUUAAAACCUCAACAAUCUUUUCACGGAAAUCAGAUAAUAUAGCAGUCAUACAUCUUUGAAAGAUAGGAGGUGCAUUGCAUAAACCAAAAGGCAUGAGUCUAUAAGCAUAAGUUCCAAAAGGACAAGUAAAGGUGGUUUUCUCUUGAUUAGGUUGUGAAACACGUAUUUGAGAAAAAACAGAGUAUCCAUCAAGAAAACAAAAAUGUGUAUGCUUAGACAAUAUUUCUAGCAUUUGAUCAAUAAAAGGCAGAGGGUAAUGAUCUUUUCUAGUAGAUUUAUUUAAUUUUCUAAAAUCAAUUACCAUUCUAUAGCCAGUAACAAUUCUUUGUGGAAUAAGUUCAUUUUUAUCAUUAGGAACAACCGUAAUACCUCCUUUCUUAGGGACACAAUGAACAGGACUUACCCAUCUACUAUCAGCUAUAGGAUAGAUUAUACGUGCUUCCAGAAGCUUUACUAUUCAGUUCUUACCACUUCUUUCAUCUUAGGUUCAAACAUCGUUGGUGAUCAACAUAGGUUUAGCAUCAGGUUCCAUAUUAAUCUUGUGCUGACAUAGAGUGGGACUAAUGCCCUUAAGAUCAUCAAGAGUAUAUCCAAUAGCAGCACGGUGCUUCUUUAGAAUUUUCAAUAAUCUUUCUUCUUCAUGUUCUGAAAGGUUAGCACUAAUAGUAACAGGAUAUAUCUUUUUUUCAUCGAGUUAAGCAUAUUUUCAAAGUGUGUGGCAAUUGUUUUAAUUCAAACACAGGAUCAACUUUAGGUGGAGGAGGACCUCCUAGAGUUUUGAUAGGCAAAUUGUGUUUAAGCAGAGGUUGUUGUUCAAAUAAUAUUUUGUCUAUUUCAUUUCUUUCACGCAAGUGCAUAUCAUUUUCAUGGUCUAGCAAAUAUUUUUCUAAAGGAUCAGUAGGAGGCAUAGCAAUAGAAGAAAGACCAGUUAUUUCAUCCUUACUAGGAAAUUCUUUAUUAUGAGGUUGUCUACUAAACUUGGAGAAAUUAAACUCAUGAGACUCAUCACAAAAGCUAACACUAGCAGUUUGUUUAUGGCAAUCUAUAGUGGAAUUAACAAUGUUCAAGAAAGGUCUACUAAAGAUUAUGGGACAAAAUCAUCUUGUGGGGAACCAAGAACUAGAAAAUGAGUAAGGUCUACCAAAGAUGGUGUCUCUAUUAGCAAGUUUAAUAGUAACAUCUAUGUCUUCUAUUUCAGCGGAUGCUAUAUUAUUCCUAAUUUCUUGGUAUAAGGUAAAAGGAAUAGCACUCACACUAGCACCUAAGCCACGUAAUCCAUGAUAACAAUGAUCUCCUAUUUUAACUGAGACAACAGGCAUGCCAACAACAGGUCUAUGUUUAUCUUUUUCAUCGGGUUUGGCAAUUCUAGCAGCUUCAUCACAGAAGUAAAUAACAUGCCCAUCAAUAUUUUCUACCAGGAGAUCUUUAACCAUAGCAAUACUAGGUUGUACUUUAGUUUACUCAGAGGGUUUAGGUUAUUUAAUAUUACUUUUGCUAAUCGCAGUUGAUACCUUAGCAUGUUCCUUUAUCCUACUAGGUAAAGGUGGUUUCUCAAUAUAAGCAGUAGGUACGACUGGAUCAACAUUGUAAAUAAUAGUUUCAUAUUUAGAUUUAACCAGUUCUUUAAUUUCUUCUUUAAUAGGGGGAUGAUAUUUAAACCACUUCUCCUUAGGGAGACCAACAUGAGUAGCAAAUGAUUCACAAAAAGAGGCUACCAUCUCAGAGUCAAGUCUGUAUUUAGUGCAAAACUUAUGAAAAGCAUCGGUAUUCAUCAAAGAUUUAACACAAUCAAACUCAAGCUUAAUACCCGACUCUUUACCUUCGUCGAGUUCCCAAUCUUUAGAGUUGCAUUUAAUUCUUUCUAAAAGAUCCCAAUCUUCAGAGUUGCAUUUAAUUCUUUCUAAAAGAUCCCAAUCUUCAGAGUUUCAUCUUUACCUUUGUCGAGUUCCCAAUCGUCAGAGUUGAGUUUAAUUCUUUCUAAUGCUUUAUGAGGUUGUCUACUAAACUUGAUGAACUAGAUGCAUAGGAUAAUUUUUUUUGUGAAAUUCCAAUUUCAAUCGAUUCCACUUCGAAGAUCCAAUAUCAUCGCAUAGCCUAUACCAUGCCAAUGCUUUUCCCUUCACAGAUAAAGGGAAAACCUUCUUCUUAGCUUCAUCUCUGGAUAAACCUACAAGCUUAAAUAAUCCACAAAUUUCAUCCACAUAGAUCAAGUGCAUAUCAGGAUGUUCUAUUCCAUCUCCUGCAUAGGGAUUAGCUAGCAGUUGUUCUAUCAUACCCGAAGGAAUUUCAUAACCAAUAUUUUCAAUAGGUGCAGUAGGUUGAGGGGCAGCUAAUUUUUCUUCUGAUUGAGGUAAAUAUACCCCGAACAAACCCCUCAAUAGAUGGUUUUCCAUAGUAGCAAGUGACAAUAAAUUUUAGCACAUAAUAGUAAUUUUUCCUUACCAAUUUCCACUUACCAAGAGCGCUUCACUCCCCGACAAUGGUGCCAGAAAAGAGUCUUGACGACCCACAAAUAUAGGGGAUCAAUCAUAGUCCUUUUGAUAAGUAAGAGUGUCGAACCAAACGAGGAGAAGAAGGAAAUGACAAGUGGUUUUCAGCAAGGUAUUUUCUACAAGCACUGAAAUAAUCGGUAACAGGUAGUUUCGGAGCAAGAUAAUUUGUAACAGACAAGUAACGGUAAUGGUAAAUAAAGUGCAGCAAGGUAGCCCAAUCCUUUCGUGCCAAAUGACAAGCCAAAACGGUCUCUUAUAAUAAGCAAAGCGUUCUUCAGGGCACACGGGAAUUUCAUCUAGUUACUUUCAUCAUGUUGGUUUGAUUCACGUUCGCUACUUUGAUAAUUUGAUAUGUGGGUGGUCCGGUGCUUGGGUGUUGUUCUUACUUGAACAAACCUCCCACUUAUAAUUAACCCCCUCGCAAGCAUCCGCAACUACAAGAAAAGUAUUAAGAUAAAAUCUAACCAUAGCAUUAAACAUUUGGAUCAAAAUCGGUCCCUUGUGAAGUAACGCAUAAACUAGGGUUUAAGCUUCUGUCACUCUAGCAACCCAUUAAUACGUCUCCAACGUAUCUACAAUUUAUGAAGUAUUCAUGCCAUGUUUACAAUAGUUUUAUAUGAUUUUGAUAUGAUUUGUUUAGAACUAACCCAGACUGAUGCUGUUUUCAGCAGAACUACCGUGGUGUUGUUUUUGUGCAGAAAUAAAAGUUCUCGGAAUGGCACUGAAAAUCGACGGAGAUUUUUUUGGGAAAAUAUAAAAAAUAGUGGAACAAAAAUCUACCGGAGGGGAGUCCCAUGGGCUCCACGAGGGUGGGGUGGACUCCCUGUGGGGCCCCUUGACUUGUCCUUGACGCCAACCUCUUCUAUAAAUACCCAAACCUCUAGAAAAUAACCUAGAUCAGAAGUUCCGCCGUCGCAAGCCUUCGUAGCCACGAGAAAUCAAUCUAGGCCCUCUCUGGCACCCUGCCGGAGGGGGCCAUCAUCACCGGAGGCCAUGGGGGAGGAUCUCGGAGGGGGCCAUCAUCACCAUGAAGGCCAAGGACCAGAGGGGGAACCUCUCCCCAUCCAGGGGGGAGGCCAUGGAGGAGGAAUCACAAGGGGAGAACUUCUCCUCCUCUCUCUUGGUGGCGUCGGAGUGCCAUAGGGAGGGGAAUCAUCGUCGUGGUGAUUGUCUUCAUCAACGUCAUCAUCAUCAUCACCAUCCUCAUCUCUUUUAUGCGGUCCACUCUCCCACAACCCGCUGUAAUCCCUACUUGAACAUGGUGCUUUAUGCCACAUAUUAUAAUCCAAUGUGCCAUCUUAUGAUGUUUUGAGUAGAUAUCCUUUGUCUUUGGGUUGAUUGAUGAUCUAGAUUGGUAUGAGUUGUAUGAUUUAUUUGGGUGCUGUCCUAUUGUGCCCUCUGUGUCACGCAAGCAUGAGGGAUUCCCGUUGUAGGGUGUUGCAAUAUUUCCAUGGUUUACUUAUUGUCUGCGUUGCUUGAGUGACAGAAGCAUAAACACGGAUAAGUGGGUCACAGCGUAUGGGAAUAAAGGGGACUUGAUAUGUUAAUGCUAUGGUUGGGGUUUACCUUAAUGAUCAUUAGUAGUUGUGGAUGCUUGCUAGAGUUCCAAUCAUAAGUGCAUAUGAUCCAAGAAGGGAAAGUUUGUUAGCUUAUGCCUCUCCCUCAUAUGAAAUUGCAAUAGUGAUUACCGGUCUUGUUAACAAUUGCCUAGGAUAAUUCCGCACACCGACCCAUCAUUAUUCCACACUCGCUAUUUAUAAUAUUUAGUAAUAUAUUCUAAAUUUAUGAUAACAGCACCUACUUUUAUAUUUUAGCUCUUCGAUAUCAUACAAAGUUAUCCUCUUCAUACCCACAACAUAGUUUUAUUUCUCGUUUCUAGUUGGAAGCAAACGUUCGGUGUACGUAGAGUCGUAUCAGUGGCAGAUAGGACUUGAGAGAAUAUUGAUCUUGCCUUUAGCUCCUUGUAAGUUCGACACUCCAUGCUUAGCACUUCCACCUUUGGAAAUUGCUAUGAUGAUUCCCUGCACUUGGGGAUUAUCAAGCUCUUUUCCGGCGCCGUUGUCGGGGAGCAAUAGCGUGGGAUUGAUAUUCUCGUGUGUGCUUGUUUGCUUUCUUCACUAAGUAUUUUUUGUUUUCCCUUUUUGAUUUGCUUAGUUGUGGGUGAAACAUACAAAAAAAUCAAAAAAUAAAAAUACAAAAAGAUGCACUUGCCUCAUAUGCCUAAAAAGUUUUUCAAGAAGAGAAGUGAUUGGAAAGUUAUGGAUUGGAGAAGUGAGGGUCGACCUUGAGCACUUGUGUUCAUGCUCAUGGAAACAAUGUAUAAUUUUUCAUGGAAGUUUAUCUGUAAAUAAUUAUCCCCUUGUAUAUAUCCUUUCUAUUAUAAAAAUAAUGUGCCAAGCUUUGGUUUUAGGAUGAUUAGAUUGCUUGUUUACUAUGUGCAGUACAAAAACAGAAACUUUGGCUGUAGCGCAUGAAUUUACAUUUUUUACUGGAAAGUCAAAUGGGUCUGAAACUUUUUACACAUUACUUCUGUACAAAUUUUUUAAAUUUCAUAUUUUAUUUAGAAUUUUUGGAGUUACAUAAGUUUACUAAAUUUCCGAAUUACUAUAGACUGUCCUGUUUUUUACAGAUUCUGUUUUCUAUGUGUUGUUCGCUUAUUUUGAUGAAUCCAUGGGUUGUAUCGGGGGGUAUGAACCAUGGUGAAGUUGGAAUACAGUAGAUAAAGUGUUAAUAUUAAAUUUAAUGAGUUUGCAACAGUACCUAAAGGUAGUGAUUUGCUUUAUUAUACUAACGGAUCUCACAAAGUUUUCGUUAAGUUUGGUGUGGAUGAAGUGUUCGAAGAACGAGGAGUUACCGAUGUGAGAAGAAUAAAGAGAGGCAAGAGUUCAAUCUUGGGGAUUCCCAAGGCACACCAAGUAAAUACUUCAAGGAUACUCAAGCAUCUAAGCUUGGGGAUGCCCCUGUUGGCAUCCCAUCUUUCUUCUUCAACAAUUAUUGGUAUACCUCGGUUUUUGUUUUGUUCACAUGAUUUGUGUCCCUUGUGUUUUUCUUUUUCUUUAGGAAGCAUGCUAGUAUGAGAUAGCCCUUCAUUGAUUUAUAGAAUGCUUCAUGUGCUUCACUUAUAUCUUUUGAGUAUGGUUUUACAGAAUGCUUCGUGUGCUUCACUUAUAUAUUUUGAGCUUGGAUAUUGGUUAGUCUAUACUAAUUGUAGAAUGCUCCAUGAUGUUCACUUAUAUAUUUUGGAGUAUGAAUAAUGAUAUCAUCUAAAGUGGGUUUGGAAGAGUGUCAACUUUAGGAAUUAGUGAUCCCACUAUUUUGGAGGGUGUUGAAUCUUAGUGUGAUAUUUAUGAAAGUGGGUUUGGAAGAGUGUCAGCUUUAGUUAGUAAUGAUUCCACUAUUUCGGAAGAGGUUCCAAUUAAUUAUGAGAACAAAGUUGCUAUCUAUGAUGAUUAAUGUGAUGACAUGUAUGCUAUAAAGAAUAAUGUUAACCAUGAAACUUGUCAUCAUGAUUUUAAUUUUCAAUUGGAUUAUGCCUCACAUGACGGUUAUUUCGUUGAGUUUGCUCCCACUAUUCCGAAUGAGAAGAAUUUUUGCUUAUGUGGAGAGUAGUAAAAUUUCUAUGCUUGUAGAUCACGAAAAUAAUGCUUUAUGUGAUGGUUAUAAUUCAUGAUGCUACUGAAAAUUAUUAUGAGGGAGGAAUAUAUGCUUGUAGGAGUUGCAAUAAUAUCAAGUUUCCUCUCUAUGAGCUUAAAGUUUCGAAGUUAUACUUGUUUUGCCUUCCAGUGCUAGUUGAUUCUUGUUCCCUUAAAUUGUGUGCUCACGAAAUCCCUAGGCAUAGGAAGUGGGUUAGGUUUAAAUUUUCUAGUCAUAUUCUUCAUGAUGCUCUCUUUAUGUUUCAAGUCUUAUCUUUUAUGUGAGCAUCAUUGAAAUCAUCAUGCCUAGCUAAAAGGAAUUAAAGAAAAGCGCUUGUUGGAAGACAACACAAUAUUUACUUUAAUGUUUUUGUGUGUCCACAUGAUUAAGCUAAUGUAGUAAUCGUAUUUUAUAGCUUUUAUUUCAAUAAAGUGCCAAGUAAGACCUUUGGGAAGACUUGGGUGAAAGUUAAUGUGAUCUUGCUGUAAAAAACAGAAACUUUGCGCUCACGAGAUUAGCUGUCAUAUUUUAUAGAAGAGUGCUUUUUAGUUGAUUCUUUUUGCAGAAGACUGAUAGACAAAUUCCUCACGGCCAACAAUUUAUUUCAGAAUUUUUCGAGCAGCAGAAGUAUGGUUGUUGUUCAGAUCAUUACAGACUGUUCUGUUUCUGAAAGAUUCUGCUUUUAAUGCAUAGUUUGCUUGUUUUCUAGUUUCUAUGGCUUAUAUUGCUCAAUAUAAGUUGUAGAAAUGAUAUGGUACAGUAGGCAUUGUGUGAGAACAAUUAUGAAUCUUGUCUUCGACGGUACCAAAGUGAAUGAUUUACUCUUUAUCAUACUAACCCAUCUCACGAAGUUCCGUUAAGUUUUGUGUGAUUGAAGUUUUCAAGUUGUGAGUGAGAUAUCGAUAUGAGGAGAAUAAGGAGUGGAAAGACCCUAAUCUUGGGGAUGCCCAAGUCACACCAAGGUAAUAUUCAAGGAAGACUCAAGCGCCUAAGCUUGGGGAUGCCCCGGAAGGCAUCCCCUCUUUCGUCUUCAAAACUAUCGGUAUACCUUACUUUGAGCUAUAUUUUUAUUCGUCACAUGAUAUGUGUUUUUCUUGGAGAGUAUUUUCAAUUUUACUUGAUGUUUGAAUAAAAUCAUUGGAUCUGAAAUCUUGAAUUAAAAAUAAUCCUCCCAUGGCUAGUUAAUUAUUUGACUACUCAGUGUUCUUCACUUAUAUCUUUCUGGAGUAGUUUGUCAUUUACUACGUGCUUCACGUAUAUCCUAAGAGUAAAUGGUUGAAUGAAUUGAAUAUCAUAAAUCUGAAUUUAUAUAUAUGUUUCAUGUGCUUAUAACAUGGGGAGUAAUGACUUCACACAUAAUAAGUAUAGGUAGUAAACUUAUUGGAAAUUAGCAAACGCAAAAUUGAUCACUUGAACAAUUAAUGAAAGAAUAUUGAAGGAAGACAGAUUUCCCAUAUAAAUAUACUAUCUUGGACAUCUUUUGUAAUUGUGAGCACUCAUUAAAAUAUGUCAUGCUAAAAAGUUGAUGUUGGACGAGACAACUUAAUGGGUUAUGUUUUCCUAUAUCUGAAACAUUAUAUUAUCUUGGAUCAUCCAACAUGUUGAGCUUGCCUCUCCCUCUCAUGCUAGCCAAAUUCUUUGCACCAAGUAGAGAUACUACUAGUGCUUCCAAACAUCCCUUAAACCAGUUUUGCCAUGGGAGUCCACCAUACCUACAUAUGGAUUGAGUAAGAUCCUUCAAGUAAGUUGUCGUCGACGCAUGCAAUAAAAAUUGCUCCUUAAAUAUGUAUGAUCUAUUAGUGCGAAGAAAGUAAGCUUUAUACGAACUUGUGAUAGGGAAGAAAUAAAAGCGACAGACUGCAUAAUAAAGGUCUUUAUCACAAGCGGCAAUAUAAAGUGACAUUCUUUUGCAUUAAGAUUUUGUGCAUCCAACCAUAAAAGAGCAUGACAACCUAUGCUUCCCUCUGCGAAGGGCCUAUCUUUUACUUUUAUCUUCUACCUUUAUACAAGAGUCAUGGUGAUCAUCACCUUUCCUUUUUACACUUUUUUCCUUUGGCAAGCACUUUGUGUUGGAGCGAUCCGGAUAUAUAUAUCCACUUGGAUGUAGGUUUUCAUAAAUUAUUAUUGUUGACAUUACCCUUGAGGUAAAAGGUUGGGAGGCGAAACUAUAAGCCCCUAUCUUUCUCUAUGUUCGAUUGAAACUUUGAAACCAUAAAUAUCACAUGAGUGUUAGCAAUUGUGAAAGAUUAAAUGAUAGUUGAGUAUGUGGAGUUUGUUGAACCAAAGCUCUUACAUAGACCCUUCCCAAAAAUAAGAUGAAUUGCAAUUGUUUGAUGACUAAGUGCAUGGUUUGUUAGUUCUCCAUAAAGUUUAUGAUCUAUACUUUAACUUGUGAAUAGCUUGUUACUUGAUCAUGAAAAGUUCUAUGAGUUGAGCUACUGUUAUGAUAUAUAAUGAUGCUAGGAAAGGUGAUUGAAACUAUCAUUGAUCAAACUUAAGCGCUUGCUAGCAUUCACACUUCAUAAAUUAUUUCUUUAUCAUUUACCUACACGAGGACGAGCAGGAAUUGACCUUGGGGAUGUUGAUACGUCUCCAACGUAUCUAUAAUUUAUGAAGUAUUCAUGCCAUGUUUACAAUAGUUUUAUAUGAUUUUGAUAUGAUUUGAUUAGAACUAACCCGGACUAACGCUGUUUUCAGCAGAACUACCGUGGUGUUGUUUUUGUGCAGAAAUAUAAGUUCUCGGAAUGCGCUGAAAAUCAACAGAGAUUUUUUUGGAAAAAUAUAAAAAAUACUGGAACAAAAAUCUACUGGAGGGGAAUCCUAUGGGCUCCACGAGGGUGGGGGCACGCCCACCUCCUGGGGCGCGCCCCUAUGCCAUGUGGACUCCCUGUGGGGCCCCUUGACUUGUCCUCGACGCCAAUCUCUUCUAUAAAUACCCAAACCUCUAGAAAAUAACCUAGAUCGGAAGUUCCGCCGCCGCAAGCCUCUGUAGCCACGAGAAAUCAAUCUAGGCCCUCUCUAGCACCCAGCCGGAGGGGGCCAUCAUCACUGAAGGCCAUGGGGAAGGAUCCCGGAGGGGGCCAUCAUCACCAUGAAGGCCAAGGGACAGAGGGGGAACCUCUCCGCAUCCAGGGGGGAGGCCAUGGAGGAGAAAGCACAAGGGGAGAACUUCUCCUCCUCUCUCUCGGUGGCGCUGGAGUGCCAUCUGGAGGGGAAUCAACGCCAUGGUGAUCGUCUUCAUCAACAUCACCAUCAUCAUCACCAUCCUCAUCUCUUUUACGCGGUCCACUCUCCCGCACCCCGGUGUAAUCCCUACUUGAACAGGGUGCUUUAUGCCACAUAUUGUGAUCUAAUGAUGUGUCGCCAUCUUAUGAUGUUUUGAGUAGAUAUCCUUUGUCUUUGGGUUGAUUGAUGAUCUAGAUUGGUAUGAGUUGUACGAUUUAUUGUGGUGUUGUCCUAUUGUGCCCACCGUGUCACACAAGCGUGAGGGAUUCCCACUGUAGGGUGUUGCAAUAUGUCCAUGGUUUACUUAUUGUCUGCAUUGCUUGAGUGACAGAAGCAUAAACACAGAUAAUUGGGUCACGGCGUAUGGGAAUAAAGGGGACUUGAUAUGUUAAUCCUAUGGUUGGGUUUUACCUUAAUGAUCUUUAGUAGUUGUGGAUGCUUGCUAGAGUUCCAAUCAUAAGUGCAUAUGAUCCAAGAAGAGAAAGUAUGUUAGCUUAUGCCUCUCCCUCAUAUGAAAUUGCAACAGUGAUUACCGGUCUUGUUAACAAUUGCCUAGGAUAAUUCCGCACGCCGACCCAUCAUUAUUCCACACUCGCUAUUUAUAAUAUUUAGUAAUAUAUUCUAAAUUUAUGAUAAAAACACCUACUUUUAUAUUUUAGCUCUUCAAUAUCAUACAAAGUUAUCCUCUUCAUACCCACAAAGUAGUUUAUUUCUCGUUUCUAGUUGGAAGCAAACGUUCGGUGUACGUAGAGUCGUAUUAGUGGUAGAUAGGACUUGAGAGAAUAUUGAUCUUGCCUUUAGCUCCUUGUGGGUUCGACACUCCAUGCUUAUCACUUCCACCUUUGGAAAUUGCUACGAUGAUUCCCUGCACUUGGUGAUUAUCACCCAUCAUCUAAUAACUACUCCACAAUGCAUUCCCUUAGGCCCAAAGAUGGUGAAGUGCCAUGUAGUCGACGUUCACAUGACACCACUAAGGGAACCACAACAUACAUAUAAUCAAAAUAUCGAACACAUAUCAAGUUCACAUGAUUACUUGCAACAUGACUUCUCCCAUGACCUCAAUCACAAAUGAUAAUCACGCUCAAGAUCAGAGGGGUAUUAAAUAGCAUAAUGGAUCUGAACAUAUAAUCUUCCACCAAAUAAACCAUAUAGUAAUCAACUACAAGAUGCAUGUAAUCGACACUACUAGUUACCCACAGGUACCAAUCUGAGGUUCUGGUACAAAGAUUGAACACAAGAGAUGAACUUGUAUUUGAGAGGAGAUAGUGUUGUUGAAGAUGUUGAUGAAGAUUGCCCUCCCAAAGAUGAGAGGGUUGUUCGUGAUGACGAUGGCUUCAAUUUCCCCCUCCGGGAGGGAAGUUCCCCCGGCGGAAUCGCUCCGCCGAAGGGCAAAAGUGCUCCUGCCCAAGUUCCACCUCGAGACGGCGGCACUCCAUCCCGGACGUCCUGUCCUUAUUUUUUUUUCUAGGUCAAAAUGACCUAUAUACCAGAAGAUGGGCACCGGAGGUGGGCUGGGCUGACCACAACCCACCAGGGCGUGUGGGGGGCCUGGAGCGCCCUAGUGUCUUGUGGUCACCAGGUGGCCCCCCUCUAGUAGUUAUUUGCUCCAGUAUUUUUAUAUAUAUUCCAAAAUAAUUCUCCGUAAAAUUUUAGCUCAUUUGGAGGUGUGCAGAAUAGGUAUCUCUGAUGUAGCUUUCUCAGGUCCAGAAUUCCAGCUGCCGGUAUUCUCCCUCUUUGUGUAAACCUUGCAUAUUAUAACAGAAAAGGCAUUAGAAUUACUCCAUAAAGCAUUAGUAUGCAUAAAAACAUUAUAAAUAACAGUAGGAAAACAUGAUGCAAAAUGGACGUGUCAACAACCUGGAGCAACAUUAUUGUACCAUAUCUUAGCAUCACCCUUUAAUGAGAAAGGGAAUAACUUGAGGAUAUAGUAAUAGCAAAUUUUCUCAUCGUGAGCAAAUAGGGUGGCUAUUUCAUUUAAUUUACUAAGAUGUGCCACAACAGUUUCAGAUUCAUAGCCAUGGAAAGGAUCAGAUUCAACCAAAGUGAUUAACUCUGGGUCGACAGAGUAUUCAUAAUCCUUAUCAGUAACAAACAUAGGUGAAGUAGCAAACUUAGGAUCACAUUUCAUUCUAGAAUUCAAAGAUUUUUCUUUCAGUUUGCAUAGUAAUUUCUUAAGAUCGUCUCUAUCAUUGCAAGAAAGAAAGUCUCUAGCUAUCUCCUCAUCCAUAAGAUAACCCUCUGGUAUCUUAGGCAUUUCAAAUCUAGGAGAGCUAGGUCUAAUAGGUAUUUCAUAGUCAUCAGUUUCAAGGACUUCAUCAGUUUCAGCAAUUUCAUUCUCUUUAAUUCUAACAAGUUGUUCAUCAAGAAAUUCACCUAGUGGCACAUUAUCAUCAGGCAAGGUACUAGUAUCAUCAUAAGCAUCAUUCAUAGCAGAAGUAGCAUCGUCAAUGACUUGCGACAUAUCAAGAUUAAUAGCAUGUGCUGGUGUUGCAAGUCUACUCAAAACAGACGGUGAAUCAAGUGCAGAGUGUGAUGGCUAAUCCUUACCUCCCCUCGUCUUAAAGAAAACGAUCUUGGUUUUUGUAUCCUUCAAAUUCUUCAUAGUGAUAAAUAGAUAAUAAUCCCAAGUGACUCUACAAAUAUAGUAUGCUCCCUGGCAACGGUGCCAGAAAAACGUCUUGAUAACCCACAAGUAUAGGGGAUCGCAACAGUUUUCGAGGGUAGAGUAUUCAACCCAAAUUUAUUGAUUCGAAACAAGGGGAGCCAAAGAAUAUUCUCAAGUAUUAGCAAUUGAGUUGUCAAUUCAACCACACCUGAAAGACUUAAUAUCUGCAGCAAAGUAUUUAGUAGCAAAGUAGUAUGGAAGUAACGGUAACGGUGGCAAAAGUAAUAGUAGCAGUUUUUGUAGCAAUCGUAACAAUGGCAAUGGAAAAGUAACUAAGCAAAGAUCAAUAUGUGAAAAGCUCGUAGGCAAUGGAUCAAUGAUGGAUAAUUAUGUCGGAUGUGAUUCCUCAUGCAAGAGUUAUAACAUAGGGUGACGCAGAACUAGCUCCAGUUCAUCAAUGUAAUGUAGGCAUGUAUUCCGAAUAUAGUCAUACCUGCUUAUGGAAAAGAACUUGCAUGACAUCUUUUGUCCUACCCUCCCGUGGCAGCGGGGUCCUAUUGGAAACUAAGGGAUAUUAAGGCCUCCUUUUAAUAGAGUACCGGACCAAAGCAUUAACACUUAGUGAAUACAUGAACUCCUCAAACUACGGUCAUCACCGGGAGUGGUCCCGAUUAUUGUCACUUCGGGGUUGCCGGAUCAUAACACAUAGUAUGUGACUAUUGACUUGCAAGAUAGGAUCAAGAACUCACAUUUAUUCAUGAAAACAUAAUAGGUUCAGAUCUGAAAUCAUGGCACUCGGGCCCUAGUGACAAGAAUUAAGCAUAGCAAAGUCAUAGCAACAUCAAUCUUAGAACAUAAUGGAUACUAGGGAUCAAACCCUAACAAAACUAACUCUAUUACAUGGUAAAUCUCAUCCAACCCAUCACCGUCCAGCAAGCCUAUGAUGGAAUUACUCACGCACGGCGGUGAGCAUCAUAAAAUUAGUGAUGGAGGAUGGUUGAUGAUGACGACGGCGACGGAUUCCCCUCUUCGGAGCCCCGAACGGACUCCAGAUCUGCCCUCCCGAGAGAGAUUAGGGCUUGGAGGCGGCUCCGUAUCGUAAAACGCAAUGAAUCCUUCUCUCUGAUUUUUUUCUCCCCGAACGUGAAUAUAUGGAGUUAGAGUUGAGGUCGGUGGAGCUCCAGGGGGCCCACGAGAUAGGAGGGCAUGCCCAGGGGGUAGGGCGCGCCCCCCACCCUUGUGGCCAGGGUGUGGGCCCCCUUCGGUUGAUUCUUUCGCCAAUAUUUUUUAUUAAUUCCAAAAACUGGCUUCGUGAAGUUCCAGGUCAUUCCGAGAACUUUUAUUUCUACACAAAAAUAACACCAUGGCAAUUUUGGUGAAAACAGCAUCAGUCCAGGUUAGUUCCAUUCAAAUCAUGCAAUUUAGAGUCCAAAACAAGGGGAAAAGUGUUUGGAACAGUAGAUACAUUGGAGACGUAUCAAGAACCGGAACAAGGCAUUAACACAUAGUGAAUAUAUGAACUCCUAAAACUACGGUUAUCACCGGAAAGUAUCCCAAUUACUGUCACACUGGGGUUUACGGAUCAUAACACGUAAUAGGUGAAUAUGACUUGCAAGAUCGGAUCUAGAACAUAGAUAUAAUGGUGAAAACAUAAACGGUUCAGAUCUGAAAUCAUGGCACUCAGGCCCUAGCGACAAGCAAUAAGCAUAGGAAAGUCAUGGCAACAUCAAUCUCAGAACACAGUGGAUACUAGGGAUCAAGCCCUAACAAAACUAACUCGAUUACAUGACGAAUCUCAUCCAACUCCUCAUCGACCAGCGAGCCUACGAAGAAAUUACUCACUCCCGGUGGGGAGCAUCAUGGAAUUGGUGAUGAAGGAGGGUUGGUGAUGACGAAGACCGAAGAUUCCCCUCUCCGGAGCCCUAAACGGGCUCUAGGUCUGGCCUUCUGAUGAAGUACAGGAGGUGGUGGUGGCUCUGUAUCAUAAAAUAGGUAUUUAUGGAGUUGGAGUUAGGGCCAGGGGCACGAGGGCCCCACAACCCACCAGGGCACACUUGGAGGGGGUCGCGCGCCCUGGUUUCUUGUGGUCAGCCAGCCCCCCGCCCCCCACCACCACCUUCGGUUGUUCUUGGUUCCAGUAUUUUUUAUUUAUGAAAUAAUUCUCCAAAAAGUUUCAUCCAAAUCCGAAAACUUUUAUUUCUGCACAAAAACAACACCAUGGUAGUUUUGCUGAAAACAACUUUAGUUCGGGUUAGUUUCAUUCAAAUCAAGCAAAUUAGAGUCCAAAACAAGAGCAAAAGCAUGAGGAAAAGUAGAUACGACGGAGAUGUAUCACCUGGCUUUGAAUCAUGUUGUGCAUGUUAGCAUCGAGCCCCCUGUGAAAAGUUGGUGGCAUUUGAAUCCACUGAUAGUGGCAGAAGGUUUCUAGGCUAUGCGAAAAAGGUAAGUGGGCAGUGCAAUUAGUUGUUUUAGUGAUUUUGUGAUGCUCUGCAAUUAGGAUGUUAAAAGUAUAAUGCUCUAGCCAUAAUUCUUGAUAUAACAAUAGUACCAAAUGCAUAAGUAGCCGGUGCAGUUUAUGAGUUGUUAGUUUUUUAUGUUCUGGCCAUUAGUCUAGAUAUGAAAGUAUUUGUCUAUGGCCAUAACUCUUCUUUAUUAGUAUUUUAGCUCUAUAUUAUUUAUCAUUAGUAGCCAAUGCAGUAGUAAGAAAUGCAGUCUUCUUUUUGCUUUAUUUUUCAUUACUGUUGUUGAAUAUUUUUGUCAGUAAUGUUGCCGCCGGGAUGAUGAAUAUGGCCACCGGUGGUGAUUUCCCCCUUCGGCAGGGUGCCGGAACAGGGUCUAGAUUGGUUUUUGUGGCUACAGAGGCUUGCGGCAGCGCAACUUCUGAUCUAGGGUAACUUUCGGGGGUUUCUGAAUAUAUAGGAUUUUUUGGCAUCGGUUUCACACAAAGAUGGGCCUUAGGGGGCCCACUACCCACCAUGUGCGCCAGGGGGGUGGCGCGCCCUGGUGCCUUGUGGGCAGGAGGGGGCCCCCUCCGGUGAUUCUUUGCUCCAGUAUUUUUCUUUUCUUCCAAAAAAUCGUCAAAAAGUUUUGUCCAAUUCCAAGAACUUUUAUUUCUGCACAAAAAACAACACCACGGUAGUUCUGCUGAAAACAGCGUCACUCCGGGUUAGUUCCAUUCAAAUCAUACCAAAACCAUAUAAAAUUGUUGUAAACAUGGCAUGAAUACUUCAUAAAUUAUAGAUACGUUGGAGACGUAUCGCAUCCCCAAGCUUAAUUCCUACUCGUCCUCGGGUAGGUAAAUGAUAAUGAAAUAAUUUAUGAAGUGUGAAGCUAGCAUAGUGCAUAAGUUUGAUCAAUGAUAAUUUCAAUCACUUCUCCUAGCAUCAUAACAGCAACUCUUUCUCAUAAAACUCAUCAUGAUAAAGUAGAAACCAAUUCACAUGUUAUGGUUCAAACAAUGAAUUCUCUUGAAACUUAACAACCUAUGUUCUAAGUCACCAAGCAAUUGCAAUUCAACUUAUUCAACAAAGUCUAAGUAAGAGCUCCAUAUACUCAAUCAUAAUAUAGUCUUCUCUGAUUGCUAUACUCAAAGCAUAUUUUUAGAACAAAUGGCAUCCAUCGAACAUAGAGAAAUAUAGGGGCUUAAUGCUUUGCCUCCCAACUCAUUUACCAUAGAGAUAAUUGUCAACAAUAAUAAUUCAUGAUCAAAUAUAUUUGACUGGUUGUAUGUGCCUAGAUCUUUCCCCACCACAUGAUGCUUGCCAACUAGAGAAUAGUUGAGGUUGAAAUGAGAAUGCAUACUAUUGAAUCUUGCAUAAAAGUAAAUACUGAAAAGUAAAAGAUAGGCCCCUUCGCAGAGGGAAGCAGAGGUUGUCAUGCGCUUUUAUUUUUUGAUGCACAGUCUCUUAAUGCAAAAGAAUAUCAUGUUAUAUUGCCCCUUAUGAUAGCAACCUUUAUUAUCUAGUCCAUCGCUUUUAUUACUUUGCCAUCACAAGUUUGUAUAACGCUUAUUUUCCCUUACAAUAAAAUAUCAAACAUAUUUAGGAGCUAUUUUUAUUGCUUUAUGCACCGAUGAGAACUUACUUGAAGGAUCUUUUUGUAUCCAUAGGUAGGUAUGGUGGACACUCAUGGCAAGAAACUGAGGAUUUUUUGAUGCACAAGUAGUAUCUCUACUUAGUACGAAUUUUUGGCUAGCAAAAGAUUCUAAGCAAACACCACAUGUUGGAGGAUCCAUAACAAUAUAACUUAUAUGCAAAUAUACACAACCAUAACUCAUUAUGCUGUCUUCCUUUCAACUAAUUUGCUCAAGUUUGAAAAUAACUAAUGUGUAUUCACAAUCAUAGAAGAUUUUCAAGAUAAUAAAUUUGUAUGUGAAAGUUCUCUUCCUUAUACAAAUCAUUCAUGAAUUGUUUGUAUGACCAAUAUUGUGAUUGUCGAGCUUCAAAAGAUUUCACUUUCUAAACCCAAUGUGAAUCCACUACUAGGCAUGAUAUGAACAUAUAUUUUCAACUUCAUGAUAUUCAAUUCACUCAACAAUUUACUCAUAGGAUAUAAGUGAAGCACAAGAGUAAAUAACAAACUACUCCAAAAAUAUAUAAGUGAAGAUCAAGUGAGUAGUUAAGUAAAUGGGUAGCUAUUUGAGGAUUAUCUCUUAUUUAAAAACUUUCAGAUCUAAGUAUUUUAUUAAAACAGCAAGCCAAAAAAAUGACAUUCCAAGAAUAGCACACAUCAUGUGAAGAAGCAAAAACUUAGGCUCAACCGAUACUAACCGAUAAUGUUGAUAAAGAAAGGUGGGAUGCCUACCGGGGCAUCCCCAAGCUUAGAUGCUUGAGACUUGUUGAAAUAUUAUCUUGGGAUGCCUUGGGCAUCCCCAAGCUUGAGCUUUUGUGUCUCCUUACUUCCUUUUAUAUCAUGGUUUACCUAAAUCUUAAAAACUUCUUCCACACAAAACUCAACAAGAACUCGUGAGAUAAGUUAGUAUAAAUCAAUGUAAUAACCUUACCAUCCUAUACUUUAGCAAAUCACUAAAAUUAUUAUUUCACAUUGCGUAGUAAAUUCCUAUACAUAUUUAAUACUCCUAUCCUCAAAUAGAAUCAUUAAACAAGCAAACAUAUACAAACAAUGCAAACAUAACAUCAAUCCGUCUAAACAUGACAGUCUGUAAAGAAUGCAAGAAGAUUCAUACUUCUCUAACUCUAAAGAUUAUGAAAAAUUUCCAUACUGUAGAACAUUUAUCAUAUCUUAUUUUGCAAAAAAACUUCAUCAUUUUAUCACAUUCCAACUUUUCCCAAGAAUUCACGCACUAGCGUGAAACUUCCUGUUUUCAAACAGUCACAUAUAGACUUGCAAAAUAAGCAUGGUAAAGGCUAUACUUGACAUUUUUAUGGAAAUAAAAGGUGAAAAAAUUUAUCUAAAUAACAUCAAGCAAAUCCUAGCAAAAUAAAAUGACGCCAAGCAAAACACAUAUCAUGUGAUGAAUGAAAAUAUAGGUUACCAAUAAUGUUGAAGACGAAAGAGGGGAUGCCUUCCGGGGCAUCCCCAAGCUUAGUUGCUUGGGUCUUCCUUGAAUAUUACCUUGGGGUGCCUUGGGCAUCCCCAAGCUUAGGGUCUUGGAACUCCUUAUUCUCCUCAUAUCGAUAUCUCACCCAAAACUUGAAAACUUCAAUCACACAAAACUUAUCGGAACUUCGUGAGAUAGGUUAGUGUGAUACAGACAAAUCAUUCACUUUGGUACUAUCAAAGACAAGGUUCAUAAUUGUUCUCACACAAUUCCUACUGUAGCUUAUCAUUUCCACAAUUUAUAUUGAGCAAUAUAAGCCAUCAAAACUAGAAAACAAGCAAACUAUGCAUUGAAAACAAAAUCUGUCAAAAACAGAAUAGUCUAUAAUGAUUUGAACAAUGACCAUACCUCUGUGAAUCCAAAAAAUUUGAAACAUUAGGAAAACGUAAGCAAUUUUUAUAUCAAUCAUAUGUAAAAAAAAUCAGAAUUUUAUCAUUCUCUAGUGAAUUUUAACAAUUCUGUUACUGGGCGCAAAAGUUUCUGUUUUUGCACAGAAUCAAGUCAACUAUCAUCCAUCCUAUUCCAAAGGCUUUACUUGGCACUUUUUUGAAACAAAAUCUAUAAAUCAUGAUUACUAUAGUAUCUUAAUCAUGUGAACACACAAAAAGAGUAGGGGUAAAUAUUAGGUUGUCUCCCAACAAGCGCUUUUCUUUAAUGCCUUUUUAGCUAGGCAUGAUGAUUCCAAUGAUGCUCACAUAAAAGUAAAGAUUUGAAACAUAACAGGAGCAUCAUGAAGAAUAUGACUAGCACAUUCAAGUCUAACCCACUUCUUAUCAUAGGCAUUUUGUGAGCAAACAAUUUAUGGGAGCAAGAAUCAACUAGCAAAGGAAGGCAAAAUAAGCAUAACUUCAAGAUUUUCAACACAUAGAGAGGAAACUUGAUAUUAUUGCAAUACCUAAAAGCAUAUGUUCCUCUCUCAUAGUAAUUUUCAGUAGCAUCAUGAAAGAAUUCAACAAUAUAUCUAUCACAUAAAGCAUUCUUUUCUUGAUCCACAUGCAUACAAAAUGUAUUACUCUCCACAUAAGCAAAUUUGUUCUCAUUCAUAAUAGUAGGAGUAUCAUAUGAAACUCGAAUACUAUAAAUUGUUUCCACAUUAAAAGAGUAAUGUUCAUAAAAAGGCUAUUCAUAAUUAUGACAAGUUUUAAAAAUAUAAUCAUCACUACUUUUUAUAACAUAAGUAUCAUCACAAUAAUCAUCAUAAGUAGCAAUUUUGUUCUCAUUAUGGUCAAUUGAAACCUCUUCUGGUAUAGUGGAAUCAUUACUAAAUAAAGUCAUGACAUCUCCAAAUCCACUUUUAUCAUUAUAAUAAUAUUCAACACCCUUCAAAAUAGUGGGAUGAAUAUUAUAUAAAGUUGACACUCUUCCAACCCCACUUUCAUAAAUAUUGCAAUCAUCAGAAAUAGGAGGCAUGCAAUCAUCAUAAAAAAUUGAUCAUUAAAAGUAGGGGGACUAAAAAGAUCAUCUUCAUUAAGCAUAGCAUCCCCAAUCUUGGUACAAACAUUAAUUGCAGAAAAUAAAUUCUCAAACAUGUCAUUUCAUCAAAUAUAGCAUCCCCAAGCUUGUGGCUUGGCAUAUCAUAAGCAUAAUCACGCUCAUCAUUAAUAUUAUGAAUAGCACAAAUGUAUAACAAUUAUUAUCAUCAUAAUUUUCCAAGUUGGUGCCAAAAAUAUUUUCAAGAUUAUAAGAAUUAUGAUUAUCUCCCCAAUCAUAAUCAUCACAACAAGCAAUAGGCAUAACAAAAUCAUCAUCAAUAGUUCUUUCAGACAUUGUGCCAUAAGACAAAGAAGCAAUAUCAUAAUCAAGUGCAUCAUCUUCCAUAAUUAUAUUGAUUCAUUUUCAUGAGGCUCAAAAAUAAUAGGAGCAACAUUAUUUGGGAGAGAUACGUUUUACCUCUACUCUUUAUUCUUUUCUUCUUCUUCACAACAUCAUGUGUGAGUUUAAUUAAUCUUUCAGAGCUUCUUAUUGAUGAGAUUGGUUGAAUAGGAAGCUCCUUCUCGUCACCUAUUUCAUCAUGGGACAUAAUAGGAGGGAAAGUAGAAUUUUUUACCCUUUCAUUAGUAUUCCUUUUAUACUCUAUUGGUUUUCCCAUCUUUCUAUAGUUGGCAAUAUAAGCAUUCUCAUUGCAAUUUACCAAGGAAAACAUAUAGAUAUGUUUUAGAUUAGUUUCAAUGUCAUUUGUGAGAAUGAAUAUUUCGAACCAACUAUUUUUAUGUGUUAAUUCUUCACUCCCCAAAAAUAGAGAAAGCUCAUUAUAAAGUUCAAGGGUGAUCAAGUCAUUACAAUAUUUAGCCAUAAUUCGAUCAUGAAAAAGAUUGCAUUGGAAAUUAAGAUGACCAACCUUAUUGCAAAGUUCACAAGUAAUAAUUCAGAGAGAACAUAAUUUUGUAGCAAAUUAAUCUAUCACUUUGAGCAAAAAAUUUGGUUCUAUCAUGUUUAUGCUUCAUACAAAAUCUAUCAUCCCUUUAAGGCACGUCUACACAAACUUUAUGCACUACACAAAAAUUGACAUGCUUAUAAGAAACAUUUUUAUCAUGACUAGUGAAAUCAUCAUUAGUAUUUUGGAUAUACGGAGAGUUAAUACUAACAACAUUGCAAUCAUGCUCGUCAUUUAUGCCAAACAUUUUAUUGAAUUCUUCUUCUAUCAAUUGAACACAAUUUUCCUUUCCAUCAUUUUCAAGAAAGACAUGAUAAAGACGAAUAAUAUGAGGCAACAUCAAUUCCAUUUUUUUUUGUGGUUUUCUUUCACAAACUAAACUAGUGAUAAAGCAAGAAACUAAAAGAUUCAAUUGCAAGAUCUAAAGAUGUACCUUCAAGCACUCACCUCCCCGGCAAUGGCGCCAAAAAAGAGCUUGAUCUCUACUAUGCAACUUUAUUCUUGUAGACUCGUGUUGGGCCUCCAAGCGCAGAGUUUUGUAGGAUAAUAGCAAUUUUCCCUCAAGUGGAUGACCUAAGGUUUAUCGAUCCGUGGGAGGCAUGGAAGAAGAUUUUCUCCCUCAAACAACCCUACAACCAAAUAAUAAAAAGUCUCUUGUGUCCCCAACACACCAAAUAAAAUGGUAAAUUGUAUAGGUGCACUAGUUCGGUGAAGAGAUGGUGAUACAAGUGUAGUAAUGACAGUAGAUAUUGAUUUUUGUAAUAAGAACAAUAAAAAACAGCAAGGUAGCAACUAACAAAAGUGAGCGCAAACGGUAUUGCAAUGUUUGAAAAUGAGGCCUAGGGUCCGUAAUUUCGCUAGUGCAAUCUCUCAACAAUGCUAAUAUAAUUGGAUCAUAUAACCAUCCCUCAACGUGCGAUGAACAAUCACUCAAAAGUUCCUAUCUAGCAGAGAACAUAAGACGAAAUUGUUUUUAGGGUACGAAACCACCUCAAAGUUAUCCUUUCCAAUCGAUCUAUCCAAGAGUUCAUACUAAAAUAACACCAAGUUAUCCAUUUCGAUCGAUCUAUUUAAGAGUUCGUACUAAAAUAACACCAUAUGAUACACAUCAACCAACUCUAGUGUCACUUAGAUACUCCAAUGUCACCACGAGUAUCUAUGAGUUGAUUAUACGAUAUGCAUCAAACAAUUUCAGACUCAUAAUACUCAAUCCAACACAAAGAACCUUAAAGAGUGCCCCAAGAUUUCUACCGGAGAAACAAAGACGAGAACAUGCAUCAACCCCUAUGCAUAGAUUACCCCAAUGCCACCUCAGGAAUCCACGAGUUGAGUGUGAAAACACAUAUCAAGUGAAUCAAUAUGAUACCCCAUUGUCACCACAAGACUUCAUAGCAAGACAUACAUCAAGUGCUCUCAAAUCCAUAAAAGUAUUCAAUCUGAUAAUAACGAAAUCUCAAAGGGAAAACUCAAUUCAUCACAACAAGAUAGAGAGGGAGAAACACCAUAUGAUCCAACUAUAUUAACAAAGAUCGCGAUACAUCAAGAUCACGCCAAAUCAAGAACACGAGAGAGAGAGAGAGAGAGAGAGAGAGAGAGAGAGAUUAAACACAUAGGUACUAGACAAACCCUCAGCCCCGAGGGUGGACUACUCCCUCCUCAUCAUGGUGGCUGCCGGGAUGAUGAAGAUGACCACCGGUGAUGAUUUCCCCCUCCGGCAGGGUGCCGGAACAGGGUCUAGAUUGGUUUUUCGUGGCUAUAGAGGCUUGCGGGGCAGAACUUCUGAUCUAGGGUAACUUUCAGGGGUUUCUGAAUAUAUAGGAUUUUUUGGCAUCGGUUUCAUGCGAUGAUGGGCCUUGGGGGGCACUACCCACCAAGGAGCGCCCUGGUGCCUUGUGCGCAGCGGGCGGCCCCCUCUAGUGGUUCUUUCCUCCAGUAUUUUUUUCUUCCAAAAAAUUGUCAAAAAGUUUCGUCCAAUUCUGAGAACUUCUAUUUCUACACAAAAAACAACACCAAGGUAGUUCUGCUGAAAACAGCGUCAGUCCGGGGUAGUUCCAUUCAAAUCAUACCAAAACCAUAUAAAAUUGUUGUAAACAUGGCAUGAAUGCUUCAUAAAUUAUAGAUACUUUGGAGACAUAUCAACAAGGAGCAUGCAAUUGCCCAGUUAGGCAAUGCACAACUAGCUCUUAGUGACCUGAAGUAAGAGCUUGAGAAAAAGAACUUGGCUGACAAAGCAGACACUAACAUCCAUUGGGUGCUAAGGGCCAAUGAGAGAAAGAUAUAGACCAAGAGAAGCAAGAUAAGGUGAAGCUGGUGCAGGAGAUGGAGCAGAUCAAGUAGGAGAGGGACAAGUUGUUGGAGGAGCGGGAGAAUUUGAAGCAAUAGAAAUGGCACCCGGAGUACAUCAUAGGUGAUCUGUUCAAAGAGAAGGAGGCCACCAAGGGGAAGAUCAGGAAGAUCAAGGAGAUAGUUGAUGAAUGAUUUAAUGUUGUUGUAGUACUAUCUGCUAUUUGUAGCAUUAAAAUUGGAAGACAUUUGUACUGAAAUUGUUCUUGUGCUGAAUUUAAUUGUGUUACUGGAUUAUUCUAUUAAUGUGCCUUAUUUGUGUUUGAUGUAUUUGUGUCUUAUUUGUGUUUGAUGUAUUUGUGUCUUAUUUGUGUUUGAUUAAAGUGCUAUAUUCUACCAUAUGAGACAUGCUGUGAAUAGUUGAAUUAUGCCACCCAAAAUGUUUCUUUAGUCAAGCCUCAUAGGGUUUAUAUGGUUGGAUUGUUGUCGAAGGGUUGACGAUCCCUAUUUUGGGCUUGGUAGGUUGGGUUGUUGUCGAGGGGUCGAUGACCCCUAUGUUGGGGUAGGGUAGGUUGGGUUGUUGUCAAGGGUUCGGUGAUCCCUAUUUUGGGCUUGGUAGGUUGGGUUUUGUCGAGGGGUCGAUGACCCUUAUGUUGGGGUAGGGUACCUUGGGUUGUUGUCGAAGGGUCGACGAUCCCUAUUUUUGGUUUGGUAAGUUGGGUUGUUGUCGAGGGGUUGAUGCCCCCAAUGUUGGGGUAGGGUAGGUUGGCUUGUUGUUCAAGGGUCGACGAUCCCUAUUUUUGGUUUGGUAGGUUGGGUUGUUGUCGAGGGGUUGAUGAACCCUAUGUUGGGGUAGGGUAGGUUGGGUUGUUGUCGAAGGGUCGAUGAUCCCUAUUUUUGGUUUGGUAGGUUGGGUUGUUGUCGAGGGGUCGAUGACCCCUAUGUUGGGGUAGGAUAGGUUGGGUUGUUGUCGAAGGGUCGAUGACCCCUAAUUUAGGGUAGGGUAGGUUGAUGGCCCCUAUUUUUCAGCUUCUAGGCUUUAUCAUAAAUGACAACACUGAUCCAACAUAUGGCAACAUAUACACAAUAAUCGGCUAGGGUGAGCAGCAUUUAGGCUUCAUCAUAAAUGACAACACUGAGCCAACAUAGGUUCACAUGACUUAAAUUCUACAUAGGUUGACAGGACUCAAAUUCUACAUACUUUCAAAGGACUGAAAUCAAACACAGGUUCACACUACUAAAAUCAAACAGGUUCUCAGGACAGAUACAUUGGUGGCAAUCCCAAAAGUUUCAACCAUUUCUAGACAUCAAAUUUCACACAUUUCACUUGCUCUGAAGUAACUAUUCAGUCUUGCAUAUUCUGAGCUUUCUUCCUUGUACCUGUUCCAGCAAUUGCUCCUCCACCAACUCUGUGACGCCCCCGAUUCAAUCAUACACUAAUCAUACACGAAAAUGUGUAUGAUGAAGAUCAGGGACUCACAGGAAGAUAUCACAACACAACUCUAGACACAAAUCAAAAUAGUACAAGCUUUAUAUUACAAGCCAGGGGCCUCGAGGGCUCAAAUACAUAGCUCGACACAAGAGGUAGCAGAAGCAACAAUAUCUAAGUACAGACAUAAGUUAAACAAGACUGCCUUAAGAAGGCUAGCACAAAAGCAACACGAUCGAUGAGGCAAGGCCUCUUGCCUGGGACCUCCUAACUACUCCUGGUCGUCGGCGGUCUUCACGUAGCAGCAUCCAUCGGUAGUGGCAUCUGUCUCCAGGGAUCCAUCAUCUGGUUGCAUCAACCGGAAAGAAGAAAGAAGGGCGAAAAGGGGUAGCAAAGCAACCGUGAGUACUCAUCCAAAGUACUCGCAAGCAUCAGAUCUAUACUAUGUAUGCACUCGUAUCAAAUGGAAGGUUUGUAACUGUGGACUGAACUGCAGAAAACCAGAAUAGAGGGAAGGCCUAGCCUAUCAAAGACUAGCAUCUUCAAGCAGCUCCAAGCAUCUUGCAGCAAGUAGAAGAGUACAAAAUAGUAGUUUAUAUUUAACAAGCAUGUUGUAACAUUAAUGCCCAGAGAUCCUUCCUCGACUCCCUGCGAGAAAGCAAUCCCGGAGCCACAUAUCCAUCACAUAUCAAGUAUCCAUUUCUAAUUGUAUAAGAUCAGGAUACAAGUCUGAACAUCCAUUACCAUGGACAUGAUAUUCGAAUAUAUAUCUUCCCUACAGGGGUGCACCACGUUACCCAACACGCUUGAUCACUCUGGCCGGACACACCUUGUUGGGGUCAAUGCCAGGCCUCGGAAGAUUAACACGUCGUGGCCCUACCUAGGCCCAGCAGAGAGGUCCCCUCGGCCUACAUCCUAAGCACUCCGGGGUCUGGGACCAUCGCCCAUUGCACUCCGGAUCGUUGCGCGUAGGGCGGGUCCAAGUUCCACCUCUACAUGGAUGGUGCCGGCCCAGCCGUGCUGCACUGCUGAACUGGACGUCUGACAAAGCUUCGGCUGAUACCACGAUGUCGAAGCCCAUAUCUAUUCUCGCAUGGUGGUUAGUGCGUAAAGGCUAGAGGCCAACUCAGAACAAAUACCCAAACCUGUUAGUACAUUGGGGGCUCGCGGAAACGAGCAGAGACUCAUGAUAAUGUGACCCCGUCGCCCCGUCUCGUGUACUUGCGGCAAGGGCCCAGACUGCCCGGCCAUGCCACGUGGAAAACUCGCGGCUGCUCUACGGGCCCGCCCAACUUUCACAUCAACUCGCGGGUACCCCUCAGGGCCGACCCGACUUCAACAAUGGUCUCAAGUAAGUCAAGGUAACCAUGUGUCCAAACAUCAAGGGGAAAACCCAAGGAAUCAUCCACGGAGGAUUCCACUCGAUGUAAUCAUCAAGGUGAAUGUAAGAGGGACCACCCUCGAGGUCAACACUUGAGGUGUUGAACGACAGAGCCGUAUCGGGAAUGGUGAAAGAGGAAAUCACCCUCGAUGACCAUGACCGAAUAGAUACACUAUAUAAUUAUCAUCAGGAGUGCGUGAUGAGGGAUCACCCUCGGCACUCGAUAGUAGCUUUGCAGAGUCGAGCAACAAAAGGGGCGUGAUGUGAUGUGAGGUGUCAGGCUCCGGUCAUCGAUCACGCUGAUCAAGUCGUCGAUGAUUAAGCAGGGGAAACAAGGACAAGUACUGCGGCUCACUGAUGGAUCACUUACCAACCUAUACUAAAUAGUUAGGAUAAGCAGGUAAGGUACAACAACAGGUUACAAAAGCAGGCUAUGCAUCAGAAUAGGAGCAAUCAAUAACAGUAGCAAAAUCUAUUGCAAGCAUGAGAGUAUAGAAUGGGCGAUAUCGGGAUGAUCAAAGGGGGGGCUUGCCUGGAAGCUCUGCUGAAAGGGAAGGAGUGUCGUCGUCGACGUAGUUGAUCACAGGGGCAGCAUGAGUCUCGGGGUCUACCAGAGAGAAGAGGGGGAAGAAACAAUAAAUAUAAAGCAAAUGAAGCAUCAUAAAGCAUAACAUGGCAAUAUGACGUGCCGGGUGUGACCUAACGUAUGGCUACAUGAUAAAGGUGAAGGGGAAAAUCAACCGGGAAUGUAUUCCCGGUUCGGGACCUGUGUCAGACAGAUGACCAGAGGGGGAAUGCUCCAUGUUCAGAUAGUUAGAGGCAUCUGGCAGGUAAAGGGACCGCGUAUUCGGAUUCAUCUCGUUUUUCUUAGCAACUUUCAUGUAGAAAACAUUUUCAUCCGAGUUACGGAUUAUUUACUACGAAUUUCUAAAGGUUUAAACAUUUUCUGGAAUUAAAUAAAUUAUCAGAAAAGAAAUACUACGUCAGCAUGACAUCACUGUGACGUCAGCAGUCAACAUGACGGCUGACUAGGUCAAGCUGACCAGUGGGUCCCACCUAUCAUAGACAAUGGACUAAUAGAAGUUUAAAACUAACUAAACAGAGUUAUUUAGCAGGUAGGCCCCACCGGUCAUAUACUAAUUAGCUUAACUAAUUAGUUUUAGUUAUUAAAACAUUUUAAUUAGCGGAAUAAGCGGUGGGGCCCGCACGUCAGUGGCUGGGGCCUGCCCAGUCAGCACAGUUGACCAGGUCAACUGGUCAACAAGGGGCCAGGGGCCCCACUGGCAAUGACCCAGGGGGUGGGCCUGGCCGUGCCACAUCAGCGCUGUCGCUGGAGCAACACCGGCGAGGUGAAACGCGGCGGCGCGACCACGGGGUUCAUCGGAAAAAGGCUACACGGCACGGGGAAGAGCGCGGCUAGGCGCGUUCGAACGGCCACACGAUCGCGCGUCGAAUGGUGGUGACCGGAGCGGCUGGUGUGGCCGGAGCUGGGUGCUAUGGUGUCGCCGGCGGCGACGCGCACGGGCGAUAUACAACGAAGGCGAUGCGGUGCAUUCGUGAGCGAGUUGAGAGGCUGGGCAAGGCAUAUGCGUUGCGGCGAGGCCAACGGUCGCGAGCCCGUGACCAUUUGUUCACCGAAAGCACGACGGCGACGAGCGGGGAUGGCGACGCGUUCGGGCGCUCGUCGAGGUAGGUGCUAAGGGGCACGGGGAGGGAAGUAAGUGGCACGGGCGGCUUCAGUGAGCGGUCCUGAGCACUCUCGUGUGCUCGGGUGAGCAUGACGAUGCCCACCGCGACGGCGGCGAGCUCUGCGGCGGAGCUGCGUUCGGGCGGUGAUGGCAGCGGCGGCUACGGUGAUGGAUCCGUGCGGGGGAGCGAGGGGAGAGACGCGGUGGCUCACCGGGAGCCGUAGGGAAGUGGCAGCGUGCUCGGGGAGGCUUGUUAGAGGCGUACGAUGGUGGUGAUCGGCGACGCAGGCGAAGAUGACCGUAAGGGAAGAAUAGGUUGUCGGGCUCGCUGCGGUGGCUCCCUUCUCACUUCGCUUGGUGCAGAGGGAGUAGCCGAGGACGGCGCGUCAUUGUGGCACGGUGAGGUGGCGGAGUGGUGACGGUGGCCGCGGGAUCGAGCGGGGGACGGCGGCGAGUGCUUCGGCCUCCUCUCCAAAACAAAGGAGAGGGAGAUGGAGAGGGAGAGCCGGGGGGAAGGAGAAGCAGGAGUGGCGGUAGGUGAGGGGGAGGACUCAAGGCGUCGCCCUUAUCCCCUCGGGGCGGCGCCGGCGAGUUGGUCGGACCGGAAUGGCUCGGGCAGGUGCCCGGACGGCUGUACGGGAGAGGGAGGCGACCGGUGGGGGGGAGUGGGCUGGAUGGGCUGGCUCGGGUGGGCCGAAGCCCAGGGGGGUUAGUUCCAGAGGGGAAGGGGUAGGGCUGGAAAAAAAACCUCGAAGCUCGCGAGCUAAACAAGUAGCUCGUGACUCGGCUCGAAUCGACUCGAAGUCGAAAAAUAACGAGUUGAGUCGAGCUUUAGUUUAAGAUUGUUUAUAGACCAAGUUAAAUGAGCCAAUCUCACAAGUACUCGUGUAACUCGUUAGGCCAAAUAUAAAAGAUCGGCCACUCCAAAUCCAUAAAAGAAAGAUCUGCCACUCAGCACCCUGCGUCCCAGGCACACAACACAAGACCCAGCCGCCCAGGAGACUCAUGCGUUACAAGGAAAUUACAAUUGUUAGUGAUAUAUAUGUUUAAUAUAUACAUAAUCAUUUUUAUCUUAUUUUUGGGUUUUAUGUUUAUAUCUUUAACGAGCUUAACAAGCUAAACGAGCCAGCUCGCGAGUUAUACGAGUCGAGCCAAUCUUGGGUUUGAGCUCGUUAUAGUAACGAGUCGAGUAGAGCUAGCUCGUUAACGAAACGAGCUCUAGCGAGUCGGGCCAAGCUAGCUCGACUCGGCUCGAAUUCCAGCGCUAGGCAGGGGCAUAUUUUUUCCUUUUUAACUCGUUUUGCAUUUUCUUUUAGCCACAAAUGACUUUGCAAAAAUAUUCCACUAGCCAAAACAAUUUCAAAGAAAUCUUUUGCACUUCCACAAAAAGUUUGGGGCCUUCAAGAGUCGUCCAAGCAUUUUUAGAAAAUGAAAAGGACAUCUUAAAUACUGCUGGACCAGAUAAUAAAUUCUCAGGUUUGGGAAUCCAAAAGAGGUUGGUUCCAACAUGACAAAUAACGAGAGAUUAUGUGCCACACUUUGAACAUUUUAGUUUGCAUGUUUGAGAAAUUUGAAUUUUGGACUUUAAUUUGAAUUUGAAUUUGAAUUACGAUUUGGGUCAAGUGAGGAUUAGCAACAGUAAUAUGAUGACAUGGCACCAUUAGCUGGGGAUUACUGUAGCUUAAUUAUCUAGGCGUUACAAAUCUCCUCCACUACAAGAAAUCUCAUCCCGAGAUUUAUGGGGUGAAGUAAGGGGGAAAGACUCAAGAAGGACGAAGCUCAACACAAGAUAGGUACGUGGGGGCUAUUUCAGUGAGCAUGGUAUAGAGGCAUCUCUCGAGUUGAAAAUCAAGAAAGUCAUCGAGAGCAAGGCUAGAAGGUGCAAUAAGAAGCUUCAAGCAGAUGGACAAUCGUUCGAUGUCUGAAACAGAGUGUGAAAGGGAUUCAGAGCAUCGAGUAUAAGCAUUGCAUCUGAUACCAGAACAGAUCACAAGAAGGUGGCUCAUGAAUUACAUAUGAAGCCAAGCGCGAGGAACAAUUUUGGGAAACAGGGAUGUACAGGAGAGUCAGGUUUUGAUCCUGUGGAACUGUGGGUUUUGGGCUCACCAUGUGGAACAAAAAUUAGGAAGGGUGAUGCCAUCUUGCAUGAUCUUGAUAGCAAGGUAUGUCAGACAAUAACCUGUCAGUUAUGUUGGCAAUAACAUUGGUACCAAGGGCGAGGGACAAAGAGAACCAUUUUCCUGCUCAUUAAGACGAGGCGGACCAAUAGGCAAAUUUCUCGUCCAUCGGUGGCUACCGGAAUGCCAUCAACAAUAGUAACAAGGUCUUACUGACAGAUUUUUACACCGAGGUAUCUACAUAAGCAGGGAAUUAUCACUGCUCAGAUAUGUUAGGUUACCAAGAAAGGUUAGACAAAACAAUGGAAAGGAAAGUGUAGACUCGAAUCAGUUAUCGAUGUUCUCGAGUGUCUAACAACUCAGAACCCAUGGGAAAUUUGAAUCGGAGAGAAAUAAUAUUUAAUGAAGAACUCAUAAUAAGUUAUGUAGUUCCAUGAUAUUCUCGAGAUACCAGAGGCUAAUACUCGAAGGUAGAACAUGAUAGAGGUUGGACAGGUGAAAAAGAUCUGUAGGGGACAAGUACUUCAACUUGUCCAAGAAAGGGGAUCAAAGAAGAGCAAUAUGGUCAGAACCACGGUUGUAACGGACCAAACAUAAAUACCGAAUGAACUUAUCACAGGGGAUUAUUAUUAUAACAAGAAGCUUCCAUGAUAGGUUCCACAUCGGGUCCAUGGGCAUGAACACAAAGGUUCAAGGUCGACUCCCACUUCUCUAAUGCACAACUUGCAUUGACUCCUCGCAAUCGAAGAAGUUGUAGCGUUGAAAUUUAACGUGGCGAAAAGUCGGUAGCGUAUAACCCGCAUAACUUUCGAGUUCACGCAGAUUUAGGGAAGACAUAGAUUCAACCCAAAGGGGCAUCUUAGGAUCAUAUACCACAAACUUCAAGAAUAAAUAACUCAAGCUCGGAAGCAGAGCAUUGUUGACAAGAGCGGGGGAUACAAUUUACCAAAGGCAUUAUGUAUCCGGGAAAGGCUCACAAGGUUAUUGAAUAUGAAGGAUGUUGUCAUAUAAAAUCCAAUAAAGGAUCUGGUGGUCCACGAGGGAUUUGAUGUGAGUAUCAAUACUCACCCAGAAGAAGAAAGAAUGCAAGGAUAUCAGACUAUAUAAACAAUUAACUAAUUCAAAGCUCAAAUGCAAAGGAAUUAUGAUUUCCAAAGCGGUGGACGGGAGCAGAGGCUCUCAUCAAAGACAAGUAAUUUGAAUAGACAUAGAUAACCAAUCAAUCAUGGCUUGAUUUGUCAAACACCAGCUCAUGUCCGGGAGUGAUGUCUGAGCCGAUGGGAACAAUUCUAAUUUUGAUUGAAGAUUGUGAGCAUUCACAAACACAUCAAAUCAAUUGCUCAAAAUUAUGAUGACAAAGGUUGCUAAAGAGCAUUGCUGGACAUAUGGAAGUAACCAUAGUGUAAGCAGGUAAGGAGGAACAAGAGUAAUAAGCUACUGAGGAGUUUCAGAAGAUCAAAUAGCAUUCCAAAGAAUUUUUUGAAAACACAUGAACAACUGUGGACAAACGGAUACUCGACAAGCGCGAGUAAUUAUCCGUAGGGGUAUUCAUGUGGCAAAGAGCUGCAAGGAAGUAGGCACAAGGUAUUCUCGGAAGAAAUAAGGAGAAAUUCAAUGUAUCUUGUAAUAACAAGAUCAACGAGGAAUGACUGUAUGAACGACAACGUAGGUAGUUACACCUAAGGAUUUAUCGGUGGUAGGGAUCGCAACGGCGAAGGGUACAAGGGUCUCGGGAAAACAUCGGAGAGUAUCUUCAGAAUCUUCCAAUGCACCAAGUAAUCAUCUAGAUUGAGGGGCUCUCCGGGAGAAAGUAUUUACGAGAACCUAGAGUUAUUAUUAGCAAAACCAUUUAACCCGAAUAGCAGAGAGAUCAGAUUCCCAGAGCAUAGACGAGAAAUAAAAGAUCCUAAUACCACCCAAUGGCGACGUGGGCCCGUAAGCCACACAGCCAUGUCAGUAAAUCAGUUUUUCAAAGACUAGACUCAACUUCAGCCAAGGAGUUGGAAAGGGGGUUCCUACAGGCAGUCGGCUCUAAUACCAACUUGUGACGCCCCCGAUUCAAUCGUACACUAAUCAUACACGCAAAUGUGUACGAUCAAGAUCAGGGACUCAUGGGAAGAUAUCACAACACAACUCUAGAUACAAAUCAAAAUAAUACAAGCAAGGGGCCUCGAGGGCUCGAAUACAUAGCUCGAUACACAAGAGGCAGAGAAAGCAACAAUAUCUGAGUACAGACAUAAGUUGAACAAGACUGCCUUAAGAAGGCUAGCACAAAAGCAACACGAUCGAAGAGGCAAGGCCUCCUAACUACUCCUGGUCGUCGGCGGUCUUCACGUAGCACCAUCCAUCGAUGGUGGCAUCUGGCUCUAGGGAUCCAUCAUAUGGUUGCAUCAACCGGAAAGAAGAAAGAAGGGGGAAAAGGGGUAGCAAAGCAACCGUGAGUACUCAUCCAAAGUACCCGCAAGCAUCAGAUCUAUACUACGUAUGCACUGGUAUCAAAUGGAAGGUUUGUAUCCGUGGACUGAACUGCAGAAAGCCAGAAUAGAGGGAAGGCCUAGCCUAUCGAAGACUAGCAUCUUCAAGCAGCUCAAAGCAUCUUGGAGCAAGUAGAAGAGUAAAGAAUAGCAAUUUAUAUUUAACAAGCAUGUUGUAACAUUAAUGCCUAGAGAUCCUUCCUCGACUCCCUGCGAGAAAGCAAUCCCGGAGCCACAUAUCCAUCACAUAUCAAGUAUCCAUUUCUAGUUGUAUAAGAUCAAGAUACAAGUCUGAACGUCCAUCCAUUACCGUGGACACGGUAUUCGAAUAUAUCUUCCCUGCAGGGGUGCACCACGUUACCCAACAUGCUCGACCACUCUGGCCGGACACACCUUGCUGGGGUCAAUGCCUGGCCUCGGAAGAUCAACACGUUGCAGCCCUACCUAGGCUCAGUAGAGAGGUCCCCGCCGGUCUACAUCCUAAGCACUCCAGGGUCUGGGCCCAUCGCCCAUUGCACUCAGGAUCGUUGCGCGCAGGGCAGGUCCAGGCUCCACCUCUACAUGGAUGGUACCGGCCCAACCGUGCCGCACUGCUGAACUGGACGUCUGACAAAGCUUCGGCUGAUACCACAAUGUCAAGGCCCAUAUCUAUUCUCGUGUGGUGGUUAGUGCGUAAAGGCCAGAGGCCAACUCAGAACAAAUACCCAAACCUAUUAGUGCAUUGGGGGCUCACGGAAACGAGCAGAGACUCACGAUAAUGUGACCCCAUCGCCCCGUUUCAUGGACUUACGGCAAGGGCCCAGACUGCCCGGCCGUGCCACGUGGAAAACUCGCGGGUGCUCUACGGGCCCGCCCGACUUUCACAUCAACUCGCGGGUACCCCUCAGGGCCGACCCGACUUCAACAAUGGUCUCAAGUAAGUCAAGGUAACCGUGUGUCCAAACAUCAAGGGGAAAACCUGAGGAAUCACCCACGGAGGAUUCCACUCGAUGUAAUCAUCAAGGUGAACGUAAGAGGGACCAUCCUCGAGGUCCACACUUGAGGUGUUGAACGACAGUGCCGUAUCAGGAAUGGUGAAAGAGGAAAUCACCCUCAAUGACCACGACCGAAUAGCUACACUACAGAAUUAUCAUCAGGAGUGCGUGAUGAGGGAUCACCCUCGGCACUCGAUAGUUGCUCUACAGAGUCGAGAAACAAAAGGGGUGUGAUGUGAUGUGAGGUGUCAAGCUCUGGUCGUCGAUCACGCUGAUCGAGUCGUCGAUGAUGAAGCAGGGGCAACAAGGACAAGUACUGGGGGUCACUGAUGGAUCACUAACCAACCUAUACUAAGCAGUUUAGGAUAAGCAGGUAAGGUACAACAACAGGUUACAAAAGCAGGCUAUGCAUCAGAAUAGGAGCAAUCAAUAACAGUAGCAAAAUCUAAUGCAAGCAUGAGAGUAUAGAAUGGGCGAUAUCGGGAUGAUCAAAGGGCUUGCUUGGAAGCUCUGCUGAAAGGGAAGGAGUGUCGUCGUCGACGUAGUUGAUCACAGGGGCAGCAUCAGUCUCGGGGUCUACCGGUGAGAAGAGGGGGAAUAAACAAUAAAUAUAAAAGCAAACAAAGAUCAUAAAGCAUAACAUGGCAAUAUGAUGUGCCGGGUGUGACCUAACAUAUGGCUACAUGAUAAAGGUGAAGGGGAAAAUCAACCGGGAAUGUAUUCCCGGUUCCGGACCUGUGUCAGACAGAUAACUGGAGGGGGAAAGUUCCAUGUUCACAUAGUUAGAGGCAUCUGCAGGUAAAUGGACCGCGUAUUCGGAUUCGUCUUGUUUUUCUGAGCAACUUUCAUGUAGAAAACAUUUUCAUCCGAGUUACGGAUUAUUUACUACGAAUUUCUAAAGGUUUAAACAUUUUCUGGAAUUAAGUAAAUUAUCAGAAAAGAAAUACUACGUCAGCAUGACAUCACUGUGACGUCAGCAGUCGAUAGGACGGCUGACCAGGUCAAACUGACCAGUGGGUCCCACCUGUCAUAGACAGUGGACUAAUAGAAGUUUAAAACUAACUAAACAGAGUUAUUUAGCAGGUAGGCCCCAUCGGUCAUAGACUAAUUAGCUAAACUAAUUAGUUUUAAUUAUUAAAACAUUUCAAUUAGCGGAAUAAGCGCUGGGGCCUGCACGUCUGUGGCUUGGGCCUGCCUAGUCAGCAUAGUUGACCAGGUCAAUUGGUCAACAGGGGGCCAGGGGCCCCACUAGCAGUGACCCAGGGGGUGGGCCUGGCCAUGCCAUGUCAGCACUGUCGCCGGAGCAACGCCGGCGAGGCGAAACGCAUGGGCGCGACCACGGGGUUCGUCGGAAAAAGGCUACAGGGCACGGGGAAGAGCGCGGCUAGGCGCGUUCGAACGGCCACUCGACCGCACGUCGAAUGGUGGCGGCCGGAGCGGCUGGUGUGGCCGGAGUUGGGAUCUACGACGUCACCGGCGGCGACGCGCUCGGGUGAGAUACGACGAAGGUGGUGCGGUGCAUUCGUGAGCGAGCUGAGAGGCUGGGCAAGGCGUACGUGUUGCGGCGAGGCCAACGGUCGCGAGCACCUGACAAUUUGGUCACCGAAAGCACGACGGCGACGAGCGGGGGCGGUGACACGUUCGGGUGCUCGUCGAGGUAGGUGCUAAGGAGCAUGGGGAGGGAAGCAAGUGGCACGGGCGGCUUCAGCGAGCGGUCCUGAGCACGCUCGUGUGCUCGGGUGAGCAUGACGAUGCCCACAAUGACGGCAGCGAGCUCUGCGGCGGAGCUGCGUUUGGGCGGUGAUGGCAGCGGCGGCUACGGUGAUGGAUCAGUGCGGGGGAGCGAGGGGAGAGACCCGGUGGCUCACCGGGAGCAGUAGGGAAGUGGUAGCAUGCUCGGGGAGGCUUGUCGGAGGCGUACGGCGGCGGCGAUCAGCAACGAAGGCGAAGACGACCGUAGGGGAAGAAGAGGUUGACGGGCUCGCUGCGGUGGCACCCUUCUCGCUCUGGUUUGUGCAGACGGAGUAGCCAUGGACGGCGCGUCGUUGUGGCACGGUGAGGCGGAGGAGAGGUGACGGUGGCCGCGGGAUCGAGCGGGGAACGGCAGCGAGCGCUUCGGCCUCCUCUCCAAAACGAAGGAGAGGAAGAGGGAGAGGGAGAGCCGGGGAAGGAGAAGCGGGAGUGGCGGUAGGUGAGGGGGAGGACUCGAGGCAUCGCCCUUAUCCCCUCGGGGCGGCGCCGGUGAGCUGGUCGGACCGGAACAGCUCGGGCGGGUGCCCGGUCGGCUGUACAGCAGAUAGAGGCGACCGGUGGGGGUGGGAGUGGGCUGGAUGGGCUGGCUCGGGUGGGCCGAAGCCCAGGAGGGUUAGUUCCAGAGGGGCAGGGGCAUAUUUUUCCUUUUUAACUAGUUUUGCAUUUUCUUUUAGCCACAAAUGACUUUGCAAAAACAUUCCACUGGCCAAAACAAUUUCAAAUAAAUCUUUUGCACUGCCACAAAAAGUUUGGGGCCUUCAGGAGUUGUCCAAGCAUUUUUAGAAAAUGAAAAGGACAUCUUAAAUACUGCUGGACCUGAUAAUAAAUUCUCAGGGGUAAUUUGGGAAUCCAAAAGAGGUUGGUUCCAACAUGACAAAUAACCAGAGAUUAUGUGCCACACUUUGAACAUUUUAGUUUGCAUGUUUGAGAAAUUUGAAUUUUGGACUUUAAUUUGAAUUUGAAUUUGAAUUAUCAUUUGGGUCAAAGGAUUAGCAACAGUAAUAUGAUGACAUGGCACCAUUAGCUGGGGAUUACUGUAGCUUAAUUAUCCGGGCGUUACAAACUCUUCCACCUCUCAGUGAUCUCAUUUUUGUAGCAACAGCAGAAGUAGAUGUAGAUGUAGAAGUACCAGCAGUAGAAGAACUCCCUUCUCCACCUGGAGGCCCUGGUGCUGAGAAAGCAGCCCUAGCUAACCUAGGAGCAGCAGUUGGUGCCCUUGGAGCAGCAUCUGCUACAGUAGCAUCAGGUGGAAUGUAGGUCUCUGCCUUUUGCCUUCUCUUUUCCUGCAGUUUAAGAAACAAAGACACAUUAAAAACUACAUAGUCAAAUUCCGAUAAAAUAAUAACAAAGCUCAAUAUGUUACCAUGUUUCUAUUCUUCCUCAACCGGACAUCAAACCUCAAAGGUUGUCCACAGUUAGUAAACCCAUGGCCCAUUAACUUACAAUUGCCACAUCUGAUUGUAGCCAUCCUAGAAGAAUCUUUUGGUUUAGGCACUUCAAACCUGCCCUUCUUCCUUUUCUUCUUAUUUUCGUCCACUCUCGUCCUCUUUAUGGAAAAUAGGAGGCUCGGUAUCAGGUUUUUAUGUCUUGACCCAAGCAUCUUCUCCUGGAACUGGAUACACUAUAGGUUUGUAUGUCUCCAAGUACAUUGCUUUCUUGAAGAAUGGACUGACAAAAUCCUCAGGUUGCAGCUUGGCUUUGUAAAUAGCACUGCAACCAUGAUUGCAUGGCAACCAUGACAUGCCCCACUUCCUGCAUCCACAAGUGUGCUCCAGAAGGUUGACAGCAUAUGUCUUUGGGCCACUGCUUAGUUGCCACAAGUUAGGUCCUGCCCUAAUUGCUUUACAAUCUCUAGUAAAUUUCUUGAUGAGCUCCAACUUCUCUGCAUAAGUUGGAGCUAUUUCCGAUAUAGCAGUUUCUCCACCUUCUCUCUUUCCAUCAAACCUGACCAGCAACUUGUCUUUGAUUCCAUUUAUCAUUGUCAAAACUGGUUUGUUUCUAACAUUCAUGAUAUAUUUAUUGAAGACCUCACUUAUGUUGUUAACCAUUAGGUAUGUUUUAUAGUUUGUGUCCAUUUCAUACCUAGCCCAUGUGUGUACUGGAAUGCCAGAUAACCACCUCCAGGCAUCCUCACACUCAUUCUUCAAAUUGGCCAUGGCAACAUCAAAACCAUGUUUUGUGUAGGAAUAACUAGCAUUGUCCAUGCAUUUUUUGAGAUCUUCACCUCUAAAUCCAGCUUUUUGGAAAUUUGCAUAAAUGUGCCUUAAACAAAUCUUUGUGGGCAGUUUGGAAAUACAGCAUUGAUAGCAUUAAGCAGGCCCUGCUUGCACAGUAAACCUAAAUGUUACUACUUUUGAUAUCCUAUAGCAAAUCAACACACAACAAAGAAACUAGGUUUGUACCAUACAUAGAAAUACGUAGUCAUAUGACAUUGGUACUACCUGGUAUUAAACUAUAACAUUUAGUUAUGUACACAAUAUUAAACUACAACACACAUCAAGUAACUAUCUUUCUACCAAAGCAAAGCAAUACAGUAAGUAGUCAUUUGACAUUGUUAUGUACACAAUAUUAAACUACAACAAAGAGAACAUAGAUCACUGACCUUCUGCCUAUCUGACAUGAUGGUGUGUUUGCCAAACUUGCCCUCUUUUGUGCCUCCCAAAGCAUAGUUUAGUUGGGUGAGAAACCAGCUCCAACUUGGUUGUCCUCCACUCCUACAAUUCCAAAGCAAUAUGAUACAUGUUGUUGUUGGCAUCCCUACCAGUAGCUGUUAGAAUUUGUGCUCCAGUUGUAAGCUUAAUGAAGCAACCAUACAAACCAAUGAAAGGCCUCAUCCAUUUAGAAAACUGUCCCUAGGUGCAUUGAGACAAAAGAGAAGACCAUGUAAUCUUGGACCUGGAUGUGGAUGUGGGUUUUCACUUGUGCGUUUUGGAGUGACAGUUGUCACAAUGCAUCUAGAGCCUGGAUUGCAUAAUUUAACAGUUUCAAUGUAAUCAGACAUCCUAUGAUACUGCUUCUUAUGAUCUCCUAGGACAAUUUCCUUUGCUCCCUUCUUAGCUCUCCAUGCCAUCAUCUUGGGAGCUUCAAUUCCAAAUUUCCUCUUUGCCAUGUUUACCAAUGCUGGCACAGUUGUGUUUGGGUCUGAUCUAAUUGUCUAUAGGAAAUUGUUCCCUAGCCACUUUGUUCUCACAUUACUAUGCUUGUCACUGGCUGGACAAGUGUGUUCUACUCUAAACUUCUUGAUACAGAAUGUUUUCUCAUACUUGAUCUGAGAAGCAACAAUGUAAAAAAGAACAUCCAUUUUCCUUGUGCUCACACCAGGCAAUAACCAUGUCUUUGCAGUUACUGUGAUAUCUGAAAGACCUCAGCUGCUUGAUAUGAAAGUUAACAAGAGCACUCCUAAAGUGGUAACAUCUUUGAAACAGAGCCUCAAACUGAAUUGAUGCUCUGGAUUGAGUUUGCUUUCAUCAUACCAAUUUCUUUCCUUUUUCUUCUUUGCUCUUGUUUUCCUUCCUAAGGGAAUAAUGACAGACAUAGUCUCAUUGCCAUCAUCAUGCUCCAAGUCUAAAAAACCAAGAUGUGCAUCUUCAUCAUCUGAAGGAAAUCAGUUAGGCUCAAUUGGAUCAUUUGCUGAUGAGUGUGAUCUUGUUGUUGGCCCUACUCUCUUUGCAAUCUUCAGCACAGGCUACUGCAAUACUCCAUCUUCACUAAAAUGUUGUUCUUCAUCUUCAUUUGCAGCUUGUUCAGUGUGGUAUUCCUCUUCCUACUCCUGAGGACCAUCAUAAACAUCCUCUGGUUCAGUGUCACCCUCACAAUGCACUGUUGCCUUCUUCUUCAUAUCUGCAAUAGUAGACUGCAGAUCAACACUAUAUUCACAACAGCUAUCAUAUGUAAUUUCUGUACCAGAUACAUACUCUCCACUAUCUGCACUUUCUGAAUCUAGUUCCAUGUCUGAAUAAUUGCCGCUAUAUUCUUUUUGAAUGUUUUGGUACUCAUCAAAAGCUUCUGGCUGGGGAGGAGGCAUUAUUUGGAUGGGCUCGUAAUUUACACUUUGCUGUGUGCCCAGGAGUAAGCACUCAUAUGUGCCUGACAAAGUUGAGCCAACAUAAUCACCAUAUUCCUUAUGGGCCACACCUUCUUCAUUUACUGCAAACACUACAAGAGGAUCAAUGUUGUAUUCAUCAGAUAUCUCUACUGGGGUUGCCUUUCUCUCGCCAUUCUUUGCUGGAGAGACAACAAUUUCUUGCUGCCUCUUGCCCUUAGUAACUGACAAUGUGACCCUCUUACUCACCUGGUAUUGCCUCAGCUUUUCAUCCACCUUAAUCUGAUUGUCCAGAAGUUUAAAACCAUCCAAUCCUAUCCCAUCACUAUUCAUGUAAAGCAUGCAGUCUGAAAAACUGUAGCCAUUCUCAAGCAACAUAGACAUAAGAUUGUAAUAUCUUAUGUAUUUCCUAAACAUCUUAGUCCUGAUGAAUUUUAUCCCUUCAAACUCAAUAUGAAUGCCCUACUCCUCAUAGUUCAACCUACAAUACCAAUUAAAAGUACAUGUAAAUAUAACCUAAAUUUGUAGAACACAUAUUAGAACCACACUCAGAAAAUAACUACAUUGUAGUUUGUCAUCUGUAAUUUAACGGUAAUCCUAAAUGAGAACUACAUUCAGAUGCUAUAUAAGCCCUAAUCUGCAGGUUGUCGUCUGUACACAAACCCUAAUCAGAACUACAUCCAGAGGCUUGAAACCCUAAAUCAUCCUAAAUGAUAACUACAUUCAGAGCGUAAAUCAAACCAUAAAACACAUGAAUUAAAUCAAAGAGAAUAACCACGGAGAGGUUGUAAGUUGGGGUCUCGUCGGCGGCGUUAGUAGGGAGGACUGGUGCAGCUGCCGGUGCCCGCACCGCCACCGUCGCACACGCCUUAUGCACACGGCACGGAGAUAACGGCUCAUCCCUAUCGGAUUGGCCUUCCACGCCUUCAUCUUCAACGAAUCUGGAGCCACCCGUUGCAGCGGGUGCCACUGCCGCCUCCGCACACGCCCUCUGCACGCAGCACGGCGAGAGCGGGUCGUUCUCAUCUAACGAAGACGAGACGACCCGAAGUCGACGCCAAGAAGGUUGCGCCCGUGACCCCGGCCGAAUCUGGAACCGCCGUCGCCACCACCCUCAACAUCGCCGAAGGGAGCGGUCGCCAUGGUUUCACGCGCAAGAUAGGAGAGGGAGGGGAACGAGAGUGAGGGGAAAUGAAGUGAGCGAGGCAGUGAGCUAAACAAGCGGUGGUAACGGCCGUCUGGCCUCGGCCGUUCGCCCUGGCCACGUGGUUCCGACGAGUGGGCCUGAAAUGUAAGAUUUUCACUUAGUCGUGGCUCACAACCCGUUUAAUGCAUUUUGUUAUUCACUUGCCGUAUAAGUAAUGGUCUUUCUGAUUUUUGACAUAAACGAUGGUGUUGCAACCCUAGACAUUGGUUUUCAGCAAUUUACUAGUAUUGCCCAUGCUAAAAGAUAGUGCAGUGGUGGCAGUGCUUCACGUGCAUGCUUCACUGGUCCAUGCGUGGUCGAGCUCGAAGGAGGUCUACACCGUAAUCUGCAGAUGAUUACGCUAAAGCGCUCUGAAAUACAGCUAUUUAUCUCAAAGUUUUCAUGGAAGGAAGCGUUAACCGGGCACGAAAGCGCAGGUACAGGUGCAGUGUAGGUACACGCGUGCACCUGCCAGUAAUCGAUCGAUGCGCCUCCCGUCUCUGCCACGUUUUCCGCUUUCCCGGUUUCCCUGCCGUUGCUUUGCCCGGUUCUCGAUGUCGUGGGAUAAGGAUGGAGACUGAGUAGGGGCCCGGCCGGGGCCAGGAUAUGCCAUGGAAUCUACCCACCCUGCUUCUUCCUUCCGGCAAGAGAGAACAACAAACGGCGGUGGCGGCCGCCGCUGGUUUCACGGUGCGACGGGCCCGGCCCGGCUCGCGCUUGCAGUAGUACAAUAUGAGCUAGGAACAUCUCCAGUCGAGGCCUUCGAAUCUUCAAAUAUUGAUGUACGAACAAAGAAGAGGCCAAAUUUACCCAGUUGGGUUGAAGAUGCUUUAGAAGAAUAAAAAUACAGCGGCUGUGAUUCUGUCUUGUGCAUAGUUCUCACUGCGGGAGAAAUUAAUCAUCGUUCCACAUUGUCGUUGGUUCUCUCUCGGGUUUCACGUUGACAACCUCUGUUAGAUUCUCUUCUUAGAUCACAUUUUACAUCAUUUUUCUUCCUAGAUCACAUUUUACACCAUUUUUGCUACCAGUUGUCUCGCAGACAUUAGAUUCAUCCAUCGCGAGGAGAGGGAGGGCAUCUGGGCAUGUGCGGCCAUGCGCGAAUGUUUCUCCUCUUAGCGUGCAUGCACGUUGAAUGAUACUAGAUGGCGAGUAAAAAAUAACAUCAGUUCGGUGACCCAGCCAAAUUGUAAAUCAGAUUUAUAAACUAGAAAACACAACACACCAACGACGGAUACAGAGCUGACGACAUGCAGUUCAUUGCACGGCCAUGAAACAUCUCUAGCCACGCAUUCACCACCGCAACUACUAAUUGAACAGCAAAUCCGACACAACGCGACACGACAGUACAAUAGCUCCUUGGAGCAGAUGAUAACUAACUAGCAGCUGCAGUACGACUAAGAUCACCGAGCAGCAAACUUAUUAAACACACCCAGCAGCUGGAUCUAGGGGUUGUAGUAGACGAUCUUGAUCUCGUCGACGCCGUGGCACUUGCCGCCGGGGACGGAGUGCUCGAAGCAGUGGCCACCGCUGUUGCAGCCGGCGGUGGGGCAGUGGUCUUUCAGGGGGUGGCCGUGGGGGGUGAUGGAGACACGGAUGGGCAUGUGCGACUGGUCGGUGCUCACCUGGUACCACGCCCCGCCGUCGUACCCGAUGUGGAACUCCGUCACCACGGCGUCCUGCACCUUCACGCGCCCCGUCCACGAGCACACGUCGUACGACACGUGGGUGCCGUGGCGGAGCAGGUGGCCAGGGCUGUAGAGCAGCUUGCUGUUGGCCAGCGGCUCGAUGCCGAGGUAAAGGUCCUUGCCGCACAGGUUCUGCACCGUAACCUUGCGGCUCGGCUUGCAGUUUUGGGGAUCCUGACCGGCGGCGGACAUGGCAGUCGCUGCCAGCGCCACGGCGAGGAGGAGAGCCGCCACGGGCUUGGAGAACGCCAU